rnacentral:lncRNA from 1 species
AAAAAUUAGCUGUAUCAUUUCUAUUUCUGUAUAUAAUACAAGGCAAUGCCUCAUUUUAUGCUUGAGUAGUUGAGAUCUCUCUCUCUUUUAUAUUCUUUUAGAACAAGUUGUUUUCUUUAAUCUUUCUUGUCCCAAAUCUAAUCUAUAUAUCUAGCACUCUUUCCAAAAAGUUUAAGAGUGAACUAACAUAAUUGUUUGAAAUUGGAAAAGAUUUAAAGAGAUUUAUACGAGCUAAGAUAUUCUCCAAGUUGUUCCAAACAUGGAGGAGGCAAUCAAAGAUGGAUCACAAAGAAAAAACUUUAUUAGUUCUCACAAAGGCUCCUCAAGAGUACAACACUUUCCCUCUAAAUCAAAGAACCAUGUGUUUCAUCAAGCUGGUGCAAAUGUUGAUGCUGUUGAUAGAUUUAAAAAAGCAGAAGAAUCUCUUAGAACUGUGAUGUACUUGAGUUGCUGGGGUCCUAACUAAAGGUUAAUUAAAUUAUCAUAUAUAUAGCUAAUGUUUUAGUAGUGAUUUUUGAAAAUAUAUGUAGUAGCUGAAUGUUCAUAAAUUAGCUUUGUAAAUAUCAAGUAAAUGUUCCUAUUAUGUGAGUGUUAGAGUGUUUAUAUUUAUGCUUAUAUUAUUUGAUAGUUGUUUAUGAAAAUUUACAGACUGGGAUUGAAUUAAGUUAUGCCUGAAUUGGAUUUAUCAUGAUGAUUUGUGACAUGGGGAAUAUGUAGUUGUCUAUUGUAAAGUAAAAGAGAUAGUGAGAUCAGGUGCGUAGACUAGUUGCUUGAUAUUUACUUCCAUCUGUCCCUUAAUAAGUGGCACAGUUGAUCUAAUUACGCAUAUUAAUGUGUAAUUUUGAGUUUAAAUAUCUUGAAUAAUAUAUUGGAAAAAAUUAUGAAAAUUUGAUAUUUUGAAAAUACUCAUCGAGACGAAUCUAAUGACAUCUUAUAUGAUAUUAUUUAUCUUUGUAUAUUAGUAAAAAAAUAUGAUCAAAGUAACUUAGAUCAAAAUUGCGCAUUUUCAAACAGGUCAUUUAUUUAUUGUGGGAUGGAGGAAGUAAUAUUUAUGUUGAGAAUUUCAAACACAUCUUUAUCCAAAAUAGCAAUUAAUGAUGAUUCAUGAGGUGAUUUGAAAGUAAUGUCGACAGACAAUAAUUGGAAAACACUCAAACCAGUACAGUACUAGCGGUAAUAGUAUAUAAUAAUUGUUGUCAUUUGAUAAAGAGUUCGUUCAUAUUUAAUAUUCCCUUCGUCUCAAAUUGUAUGUUAGAAAAAAAAAUUUGUCCUAAAUUAUAUGUCGUUUUACAAUACCAAUGAAAUAUUUAUGUUACUUUUCCUAUUAUAUCCUUAACUAUUAAUUACUCUCUUUUCUUUCAAUUAUUUCAUUUAUCUUUUUCAUACCAUUUAUUAGGUAUAAUUUUGUAAAACAACUCAUAAUUUCUCUUACAAUUUAGGAUAAUUUUGUAAAACAACUCAUAAUUUCUCAAUAUUAAUUUUGAGAAACAACUCAUAAUUUUGAGAAACAAGCUCAAGAUAAUUUUGUAAAACAACUCAUAAUUUCUCUCAUAAUUUUUCAAUAUUAAUUACAUUUCUUAAUACGUGUGAAAUUAUCAAAACGUCUUACAAUUUAGGACGGAGGGAGUAAUAACACGAGUUCAACUUUAAGUUGUUCUAUUUGUUUAUGCGGUGCAUUAAACGUAGACGCAUGUUUUGACCAAAGCUACUAAUCUUGAGCUUCACCAAAAUCACGGUAGUUGAACAUUGAAAAGUGAUAUUUGUGCUUCCACCACCAAACCAAAUAGCCACAAAGUAAAAUUCUUGUUGAUUGAUAGUUUGAAAAUAUAUAUGACAUCCCUUUUGUGUCUGCUUUUGUGAGUCAUUGGAUAUUCAAUUCGUCUAAAAAGAAUAAUUGAAAAAAAUAUAUGAUUAUUCUCUUACUAUUUUUUUUCCUUUAAAAUUGAGAACAGUACAAACCUCAAACCAUUUAAUAUCUACAUCAAACAUGUUCAACCCUUAAGUCUAACCAAUUUUAUGAGAUUUUUAAUCGUUUGGUCUACGAUUCGAUCCUUGAUUUGUACUAUCAAAAAGGUAAAUUCUAUGGUACGUCUAAAAAUUUGAAUGUACCGGUACACCAAAUCAUUAAAUUAACAAUUAAAUGAGUUUUUUUUUUAAGAAAAAGAAUUAUUUUCUAUCAUUGACAAUCAUAAUAAUCAAAUCUUAUUUACCAAAAGUUUCGACAAAAUAAAAUUUACUUUUUUUGAAUUUUUAUUACUUAUAAUAAAGAAUAUUGAUUAUUUUUUAUGAAAAAAUGUUAAAUAUUUAAUAUGAUUCUUAUAAACAAUGAAAUGAUGUUUUUUCUUAUGAAAUAAUGUUUUAUAAAACAUAAAUAUUGACAAAUAGUUUUUUAUUUCAUAAAUUAUCGUUAAUUUAUAAUUUUAUGGUGCAAGAGUACCGGUACACUUUAAUUUUGAAGUGUACCGUAGAAGUUACCAUAUAAAAAACAUGUAUAUAUGUUUAAAGAUAACAAUAACAAUCUUUUAAAUGAAUCUUAAUUGACUCGAGAGAUAUGUAUUGAAAAUAUGGGCCAAUCAUUAUUGAGGUCUGAUACCGUUUUCUUUGUGAUUAUGAGCUUGGACUACAAAAAACAGAUAAUUAUUAGAAAAUUACUCUUGUCAUUUAUGAAAUGGCACAUUCACUAUAUCAGAAGCAGUUAACUGCCGUUCGACAUUUUUUAGCGGUAGUUAAAUGUGGGUGUGGUAUUGAGAAUGUAGAGAUGCAUAUGUAUGUAGCAAUUGUCGUAUUAAAACUUUCAUUUUCAUCAUCAGUAUAUAGUAGACAAUGAAUGAUAUUAUGAUAGUUUAACGGUUCUGCCAAGUGCCAAGUAUUCCAUCUUGUCAUUUCUUAACAUGUCUCUGUCAAGCACCUUAAUUUCUUCUAAGGCUGAGCCACCUCUUCAAAAUUGGAAACUUUAUCAAUGAUUUAUGAACAUUUUCUGAUUUUCAGUUUUGUAAACGAGGAAUAGAGUUAUGUACAUAAAGAAAUAUUCACCCGAUAUGAAUUAUUAUAAAAUACUCCCUCCGGUCCUAUUUAUAAGAGAAUUUUGGGUCAACAAAAGUUGAUGUAUCUAGUUAAAAAUUCAGUCCAAAUACAUUCACUUUUGUUGACCUAAAUUUCUCUUAUAAAUAGGACCGGAGGUAGUAUUGAGUAAAAACCUAUUUUAGUCCCUCGCAAUUUCUUCACGGCCUAAUUCAGUCUCCGACAAAAAUAAAAUUUAAAUUGAUCCCUGAUAUUUUCAUAUUAUGAACAAAUUAGUCCCUGAUUUAUCAUAAUAGAGUGAUUAAUUUAUCUCCGAUAAAAAAAUAUCAGGGAUCAAUUUAGGUUUUAUUUUUGUCGAAGACUAAAUUGGACUGUCAGAAAAUUAUGAGAGAGCAAAAUGAGUCUUCACUCUAAUAUGUUACUAUCAGCUCAAUACUCUAAAAGAGUUCUAAUCAAGAGUACUCUAGUUUCUCUUUUUCAUUUUAUGAGGAAAAAAAUCCAAAAUUUAAACUUAAAAAUUAUUGAUUGUGAUUGUGAAUGUAAACAAGGGCUUUAACAUCACGUUGGAUCAUCACAUCGUACUAAGAAACGCUUGCAUAAAUGAUAUUAGAUAUUUUAUCUUCAUCUAAAAUCUUGAAGCAUUGAGUUUACGAUUGAUUUCAUAUGUUGUUCAAUCUAAACUCUUUUAUCUAAUGUAAGAUUUAACUCACAUUUUACACAGCGGUAUGUAUUAAGACUAGACAAAUUCCACAAGAAUCUGAAUUCUAUUCCCACCACCAAUACAUAUAAAUCUUGUGAGUUGAUAAAAUGUAUGUACAAAUGUUAGCGGUCUCUAAGCCAUGAAACUUUGCUCCGGCUCUAACACACUGCCGGGGAUCAACUUAUUUAAAUUUUGUUUAUAGAAAAAAGUUAUAAUCAUUAAUUUCCUAACAGUUAUUAUUAACCAAAAAAGGACAAACUGCAUGUACAUUAAAAAAGAAAAAUGUCUAAAAAAAAAAAGGAAAAUGAUGAUCUUUCAUGGCUAGCUAGCUAGCUUAAAUCAUGAAUUUUUCUUAAUUUCUGCUAUCACUCUCAUAAUAUUGGAAGAGUACGUAUGUGUGUGUGAAGAGCUGUUUUUUGUGUAUGGAAAUAUAAUUCUAUUUAAACAAGGUAAAAACAAGUAUGAUUCAUAGGAUCAAAAUUAAGUGGCUUUUAAGUUAAUUAUGGUUAAAGUAAACAAUUCAUGUAUGGAUAAACUUGUCGUUUCACCAACCUUAUAGUUUGUGUGUAAAAACACACAUAUACACAGAAUUUAGAUGAUAAGAAUGUGAUUAUUUAAAUUUUAAAUAAGAUGAAAAUCAUCGUGAUUACCAUAUUUGGAUUGGAUUAAAAUGGAUGGAUAUCAAUCAAGAUAAAAAAUGCGCCAAAACAUUUUUUUAGUAUAACCUGCCUAAAAAACAUUUGUUCAUUAUAGAUAGAUAAAAUGCAUUUUAACAUUCACCAUAAACUAUUUAUUAGUUUAAGUACAUUAAUGUACUUAACAAACACCCCUGUACUCAAAAAAAGGACCCUUGAAUGAGAAUUAGUAUAAUUUUACUAUAAGUUCAAUUAUUUUGGUCAAAACUCCAUUUUAAUUUCAACAAUGCUAUUUUUUUUAUCCAUAUCGAAUAUCAUCUCAAUACCUAUGUAAAUCUAAAUGUUUUUAAUUGAACUAAGGUUAGAUAAGUUGUUUGUCCCUUCCCUACAAAAAAAAAGUUGUUUGUCCCUCUAAAUAUGAUAAUUUUAAGUUUUAGUCCUUCUAAGAAUUUUCUUCACUUUUUAGUCCCUUUAAAUUUUCUGUUUUCAAUUUUAGUUCUUUUUUUUUUACAAAAGGAUUUUUUCGAUGACAUAUCAUGGUAAGGCCAUAAAAUAUUAUUAGUUUAAUAAUUUAAAUAUUUGAUCUUAAAUUUAAUUUGACGUCAUAGAUAAAGCAAUAAAGAUUAAAGAUGAAAUAGUUAAAUUAUUAAACUAAUAGUAUUUUAAAGUCUUAUCAUUAAUAUGUCAUGAAAAAAGUUAGGAACUUAAAAUUAAAGAAAUUUUUUAGAAGGACUAAAAUUAAAAUUUGAUAUUUUUAAAGGGGCUAAUUGGUAAAUAAGUGUUUUUUAGGAUUGAACUCUAAAGUCUAACUUAGGAGUUUAUAACAACAUUCACAUAGACCACAUUGGAUAUCAUCAUCCAUAAAAAGUGGAAAUUACUCUUUACACUUCAGAAAAUGUUCUCCCACACCUCAAAAUGAUCAAAAAACUUCCAACAACUUUUAACUGAUAUUCGUUCCUAAGCUGAAUGUUAAGGAGCGAACGACAAUUAACUGUAAUUAAAUAUCAUUUUGAGGUAUGAGAGAGCAAAAUGAGAUGAGCAACAUUCUAAAAAGUGCAUGAAAACAGGAGAAGCCCAAGACCAUAAGAAACAUAUUUGGUUGUUAUUUAACUUUUCUCUUUUUAAAUAGAAAACAAAAUAGUUUUUUUUUUGUCAAGUAAUCUAAGGGUUCAAACACCGGCUCCUCAUAUAAUAAUGCAUGUUUCUGCCAACUGAGAUAUACUCACGGGGACAAACAAAAUAGUGUUUAUUAGUAUAUAAUGUAUACGAUUUUUUUAUAAGUCUCUUUAGUUAAAAUGAUUGGUUAUAUUUGAAUUCACUGUAAUGGAUCAAUGAACAUUUUUUUUUUAAAGGAAAUCAAUAAAGAUAGUUAAUCAUGUUAACCUUCGCCUUAAAUAUGUUAAAGUCUCCAAAUAUUAUCAAAAUUACAUUUUGAGGAAUUUUAUCAUCUCCUCGUAUAUCUAAAUUCCCUAAACAUCUCUAAUUUCAUAAUGAUGAUUUCAUCACUUAAAGUUGAGUGAAUAAGCAAAUACAACAGUCACUCACUUUGAUUCCACUCCUUAUCAUACAAUAAAGGACAAUUUGAUAUAGUACAACAAGUGUAUAUGGGAUAGCCAAAUACGAAGUACUUGUUUUCAAUCCUUUUCCUUCAAUUCUAAACUAACACGAGACAUGUCCCUCUUGGAUUUAUGCCCCCACCCCAUCAUCAUUUAUAUGUUGAUUAAAUAAAAAGAGUUCUGUUAACGAGUGUCUUCGGGACAUUCUUUAAACAUUCUAAAUUUAAUAACUAUUCUUUCAAAAAAUCAACUAUUACAAUUUUCAAUGCAUUUAAUACAUAAUUUUUUAUUAAAAAUUUACUAUUUAAAAUGUUUAAAGAAUGCUUCAGAGACACUCUUUAACAUUUCCCAUAAACAAAUGGUAUCACUCCCAAAACUACGGGUCCAAAAUUGCUAUAUUAUGGGCUUAUUGCAAAACCACGUGUAUAUCUAAGCAUAUAUAGUCCAAACCACUUGUAUUCUAAUAAAUUAAUAAUACCAAAACCGCACAAGGUAAAAACAAAAGCCUCACAUAUAUAAGCACCACUUGUCAUAAUAAACCUUCAAUUCAAGUUUCAACUAUUGUUAUCAAAAUACAGUGAAAUUCUAGUUAUUUUCAAUGUGUGCAACAAGAGGAGCUUUGGUAGUAGCAACAAGUGUUGGAUUGGUGGAGACAUUGAAGGAUCAAGGGUAUUGCAAAUUGAAUAACAAAAUCAUGAGAUCAAUGGCACAGCAUGUGGAGAAUCAAAUGAGAUCCUUGUCUCAAGCUAAUAUGUGUCCUAAUUCUUCUUCAACAAUUUCAAAAAAGCACAGUGAUGAGAAUAAGAAGAAAGCUGAGGAGUCUCUUAGAACUGUUAUGUUCUUGAGCAUAUGGGGUCCCAAUUGUUAGAACAAUACAUGAAAAGAAAAUUGGCAUAAUGCAAAACUGCAGAAAAAUAUGGUGUCACUGAAAUAUAUCCAGCCAUGUAUUUCUGUAUAAAACUUUUGAGCUGAGUGCUCUUAAGUUAAAAGAGCACUAUUGAGGUUGGUGCGUGCACGUGUAUUUCGAUCGAUUAGAUUAGACGCGGGUUUUGUAAAUUUGCUAUCAAUAAAAACUUGCUAGCUUAUUCCAUGAAAAUAUUUGUGAUGUGAAUUUUCUUUCCAAAAUUUCCUCCAAUUUUCAAUUUGAGUGAGAAUAUAAAACUAUUCACGUUAGAGGGAAUUCAUUUUUUUUUUUUUACUAAAUGAUGUUAAUUCCAACUUCUCUCUAGGUUUUCUUUCUCUUUCAAUCAUCGAGGAAGGGUGGUUUUAGGUCAUUUUUGACCUAGAAUCACCCCUCUGCAUUUUGUUUCCCCUUUCUUUCGAUUUAAAUAAGUGAUUUUCACAUAGAUCAAGUGUUUUCUUGUGUUUUUAUCUUCGUGAUUUCGUUGUCUGAGUGCGGCGUUGUGUUGUUCGUCUUCCUGUACGGCAUUGUUUGAUUUUGCAUCUUGUUGCAGUGUUCAUUUGAUUCAUAUUGAAAAAUCAGCUUCAGUCAAUCACAUCACAAAUUCAAUGAAUGAUUUGGACGUCAGCGUUGCAGAUCCGGAAGAAAGAAUAUUCCGGUGAUUUAGAUUUUAUCAUAUUAUUUGUAGGCAUUUUGCUGUUAUAUGCUAUUAACUUGGGUGUUGUGAGUUUGUUCGCAGAUUCAUCUUUUACGAUUUUAGGGAUGUUGAUUCUGAUGUAUUCUAUCAAUUUGAAUGAAUGAAUAUCGUUUUGUUUUUGUCAAAAAAAAACAUUUCAUUCAUAAUUAAGUGGUUAAUUCAUGUUAAUGUUAGUACAAGAGAGCAUUAAUGAAGAAAAAUCUUUUUGUUAAUUGAUUUAUGAGGCAAGGGAUUAUCAAAACAUGAUCAUAUUAAAUGCUAACCAGAAGCUCAUGCAAACACAAAUAAUGUGCAAGUGACAUUCAUAUCUCUUAUUCUUAAAAGUUAACCUGAACGCAAAAUUUUACCCUAGAUUUAAUUUAAUUUUUUCGCAUGACUUUACUAUAUUAAUCCUAGAUUUAAUUUAUGCAAAAUGUUAUCUCUUAUUUCUAAAUCUAAACCCGUGACGCAAUAUUAGCCCUAGAUUUAACCUAAUUUUUUCGCGUGACUUUACUAUAUUAACCCUAGAUUUAACUUAUGUAAAAUGUCAUCUCUAAUAUUAGCCUAAUUUUUCCAUCUCUUAUUUCUAAAUGUUAACCCGUGACGCAAUAUUAACCCUAGAUUUAACCUAAUUUUUUCGUGUGACUUUACUAUAUUAACCCUAGAUUUAAUUUAUGCAAAAUGUCGUCUCUAAUUUUAGCCUAAUUUUUUCCUCUCUUAUUUCUAAAUGUUAACUAGUGACGCAAUAUUAACCCUAGAUUUAACCUAAUUUUUUUCGCGUGACUUUACUAUAAAUGUUAACCCGUCUUGAUAUACUUAACCUAUUAUGUUACGUUACGGUAUCAAGGACGAUGUCAUGGAAAAUUAUGUUAUGGUACAAUACCAACGUCUAUGCUUCUUAAUAUUAUGAAAUACUAUAUGACAAUCAUGACAUUUAUCUAAACUAUUUUGUUACCUACUACCGUCAAAUAUUACCUUCCAUAUGAUCCGUGUGUUAGCACGGGUCGAUGGUCUAGUAUAAUUAUAUUGUAUUUCCUUUAUAUUUCCUAGGGGUUUGUUUCCUUUAAGUUAUCAGCUAGUGUAUGCUUCACGUUUGAUUUGAACAAAGUUUCUCAACUAACUAUAAUGAAUUUUUUUUCUUCAUAUAUACUGAGAUUUUAACUCUUAUGAUAAAGCUAGAACUAUAAUAAUUUGUUUUAUCUAAGUGAAGAAUUAAAAAUGGGGAACUAAUCAUUUUAGGUGAAAAUUUUCCGCAAUUGAAUAUGAGUUGUUCAUUUAUCUAUACGCAUACGGUCUUAGUCAUCAAGAGGAAAUUGGAUAAGGAAGAUUUCAACUAAACAUUUAUGAAAAUUGGACUAUUCACUUUACAUUCUAAGCGAGGGUUGUUAAUCCAAAAUCUACUAAAUUGUAAUCAGAGUCAUGCACAAUAAUUUAGAUUUCCUACACCAUUGUUUAAGGAUAGCAAAUCUUGAUUCCACUCAUAUAAUAUAUUUAUUUUGUCAUAGAACUGUUAAAUCAUAGUUAAUUAAAGGAAGUUAAUUACAAGGAAGUUAAUUAACCUUAUUGGAAUUGCUUAAAAAAAAUACUUCUACUACUUAUUCCAUUUGUAACGUUAUUUUUUUAUAUGAUAUCAUGUUCAUAUUUUAUUAUGAUUCCAUUGAGUACUUAAUGACAUCACCGGUUAUUACUUAAAAGUUUAUAUCUAUCUUCCAAUUUAUCAUCCACACCAAAUUUCAGCUGCAUGCACCAAAUUAAACAUCUUCACCUGCUAGUUUUCAUGGUUUUGGCUUUUUGUCUCAUAUUACAAACCGUGGUUCCGUUCCGUACAGUACUAAACGAUUCUAUAAUGUAAACAAUGCGUGUGCGUUGAGGAUAAUCACGAUAUGAAGCACUAAAAUAACACAAAUUUUUGCUUACACGAGCAAUGAGUAAUGGCAAAAUGCAAGUUGCGUGGUCCUACAAUUACAAGGACUCAUAUAUAACCCACAAAACCAUGUGCCUUAUUCUUUCAACUAACAAUACUAGAUCACCCCCACAGCCUCUGGUUUUCCUCCUAAAUUAUCUAAACUAAAAUGUUUCUAUCAGAGGGAGUAUGAUAAGGAUGUGUUCUUGAUUUGAUCUAAUGGUUAAAAACUAACUUUCCCAUGAUGGGAAAAAUUAGCCUUUCCCAUGCUAAACUUCACCUUAGUUUAUGUGUCUGUUUCUUUUGACUUUUCAGCAACAAGAAGCAAUUCUACAAACCUCAAAAGUGGAAAUUGAGUUUUCAAUAUUGUUUGGUUUGGCUUUUCAUAAUUGCUUCUAUCCUCCAAAAGUAAUUCACCUUAAAGCUACAAUUCCUAACUUUUGGCUUUCCUUGAAUCAAUUCUACAUUAAAUUUUAUAUCUUGAUUAUUACAACAUAUUAUUUUCAUUUAUUGCCCUGUAUCAAUUCUCAUAUUUUUGCUUUGUAAUUUAUUUGAUGAACCAAAUUUAAUCGGAAAACUUAACGAAUCAAAUUAGCUUCCAAAAAAUGUUUAUGAUAAUGAGUUACCAAAGUUGUUGAUGAAUUGGAUAGGCUAAUCCUGAAAUUUCAAAAUGGUCAAGUAAGUGAUUCUCAAGUGAAUGCGUUUCUUAGCAAAGUUGAAGAAAUUGAAAGUAACAUUGAUGGUUCAACACAACACAAGUAAAAAGCUUAAAAAAUAAAGAAAGCAAAAGGGGCACAAAACGUAAAAAAGGCUGGGUAGAGAGCAGACAUACCAAUAAGCAGAAAAAAGGUGGUUCAAGUGCUUCACAAAUUAAAUUAUCAAAAUAUUGAAUUUCAAUAUUAAUUUUAGUGAAAUAAAGAAGUUCACAUUUAUGUGUUUAUACGCAGAACCAAGAUCAGAGGAGGGUAAAUGGCCAACUCCCAAAAAAAGGAAAACAGGUGACUUAAGGGAUUCUCAAAGACAAGUGCAACAUGAGGGACCUAGCACAAGUGUGCCUGUAGGGAUCAAUGAUGUCACUAGUUUUACUAACUUACUGAUGGUAAGUUUCAAUAACUACAUAAGUGUCACUUUCAACAAAGUCAAAUAUUGUGUUUUUUAAAUAACUUUGUCUUCUAAAUUAUAGGAUAACCUUGAUGAGGACAACACAACAUUGAUCAAUCACUAAAGAUGUGAAGAAAAUCCUAGUUGAUACAAGUUAUUUUGGAUGUUUAUUGGAUAUGUUGUUUUGGCACAAAUGCAGUAUUACUUUAGUUGAUAAAAGUUAUUUUGGAUAUGUUAAUUUGGUACAAAUUCAGGAUCAGUUUAGUUGAUACAAGUGUAAACACAAAGUACACUCAUUAGUGUUGUGAAUGCAGGGUGUUAUGCUUUUUGGAUAUUUUAAUUUUGUACAAAUUCAGGAUUAGUGUAAACACAAAGUACACUGCAUUUUGGCUCUUUGGUUGCAUUUUUUUUUUGCUGUUUUGGUUGCACAGUUUAUUUUCUGGUAUUUGGUUGCAUUUUUCUAGUUUUUCCAGGCUAUUUUGGUUGCAUUUUUCUGGCUGCAUUUUGGCUACAUUUUGGUUGCAUUUUGGAUGCAAUCCGAUGUUUUUAUAGAUGCAAUAUAACAUACUGCUUGGCUGCAUUUUUUCUGCAAUAUCAUCACCACUAUUGUAGCCUGAACAAUUUAUAUUACUUUACUUAUGGACAAAAUAAUUUGAAAACAAAGCCAUUCAUUCAAAUAUGAAACUUUACAUUAUAGUAGCCAUAAACAAUAUUCAUAACUCAACCACUUCUAAUUAAUCUAUAUCCCUAUCAAGGUUACAUCCAAUUCAUAAAAAAGUGCAUCCUAAGCCAAAGAAAUCAAAAUGAAACUUUACAUUAUAGUAACCAUAAAUCCCUUUUACAACCAUUGAUCCCAAAGUUACAUCCAAUUCAUUCAAUAUGAGACAAGACAUUAUGUACAAUAUUCAUAACUCAACCACUACUAAUUAAUCUAUAUCCCUCUCAAGGUUACAUCCAAUUCAUAAAAGAGUGCCUCCUAAGCCAAGAAAUCAAGUAGAAUAAUUUCAAAGCGCUGCAGUUUUGCACUAUAACCAAAGUAGUAAUUGACUCAUUAUCCAUAUCACUAUUUUCGUGUCACAUUCUCCUGUCAAUAUAUACAACAGAAAUAAUCAGCAAAAAGCAGGGGAAAAAUUCAAUAACAAAAGCAAAAUCUAAAAACAUUCAAAACUAAUAAUGGUAUGAAAGUAUCUUGGUUAUACUGAUAAAAUUACAAUGCUUUGUUUAUACUGAUCAAACACAUGUGAGCGACAUCUAACCUUUAUUGUUACAAAAAUGGGUUACAUGAUAAGAAAUAAGAUAUAGAAAAUUGACAGUAAGACUAAAAUAAGUUCAGUAUGCAAUCUAAUGAAUUGUUGUGUAUGAAGAGUAUACUGUGGCACCUAUUCUGUAUAUCAGUUACUUAACAGCUGCAAUGAAAAAAUGAGGGAUUUAGGGAUAAGUCAAAGUCAAAAGGGGUUAAGAUAUUAUUUUAUUUUUUAUAACUUAUUCUCUAUUUUAACUUUUGACCAUUUCAUUGAUCUAAAGGUCAGUAUUUGGAGAAGGAGAGAAUUGGUGAAGGAGAGGAUCCAUAUUAUUUUAAUCAAAUUAAUAAAUUUCAAAAUACUAAAUAAUAACUUAAAUAAUUUAAAUCUACACUAAAUACACAAUUCUCAGUAGGCAUGGCAAUGGGGUGGGGUGGAGACGGUUUUACCUUCCCCGUCCCCAUACUCGAUUCUCAUAUAAUUACCCGUUACCCUACCCGUAUCCAACGGGGAUGAGAAAUUGAAUCUCAUCCCCGUCUCCGACGGGUUCGGGUAUCCCCGCCCCAUCCCCGUUCCCGCAUUGAAUAAUUUUUUAAUAAAAAAUAGAAGUUUUUUUGCAUCCCCAAGAGCAACGUUGUAAUACAUUUUCUAACUAUAAUCUCACUUUCACAUUUGUUAGACAAAAUGAUUUAGUUGAUUCUUUAAAUAUCAAUGGUAGUUUUUAUUAACAUGACAAUUAUCAAACAAAAUAACAUAACAUAUCAACAUAAAGUAAUUUUUUACAUUUGGGACGGGUUUGGGUAUGAGUUCGGGGUGGGUACUUAUAUACCCGUUACCCGUCUCAUACCCGUGUUUUGAGAUCGGGGAAAACCCAUACCCAUACCCAGUCAAAAUGGGGGAAACCCGUCAAAUUGAAUUUGGUUCGGGCGACUAACCACGGAUAUGGGUUUUGUUGCCAUGCCUAAUUCUCAGUGUAAAUUCCCAACUAAACAAAAUCACUCAGCAUUAGUGUACCCAUCAAAUUUGAUACAUCAAUUUUCUUUACUUAAUAAAGAAAUACAUAAAUAAACAUGGUGUACCAAUAAAAUUUACACAAACACACUAGCGCAUCAAUAAAAUUUACACAAACAUAAUUUACAUACAAAAUUGAAAAUUUACACAAACAAUUUACAUACAACAUUGACGAGGUUGACAGAAACUUUGUUGAGUAGCAGACUCUUUUGGUUCUACAACUUUUCUCCAACAAUAUCCUCUUAUAAUUAAUCAAGGAAAUUACGGUAGCUGCAAAAGAAAAAAGUAAACUAUUGUGUUGAAGUUGUGCGGAAGGCGUCUAUUUUUUUAUUUUGAUAAUUAAAUUUCAGAACUUUUAAAUAUCUUUUUAAUUUAAAACAAAAUCUGAUUUUUUUUUUCUUCUAAUUUUUUAAAUUUCGAAAAAAAAAAUUCAUAUUUUUUCAAUUUUUUUAUUUUUAUAAUUAAAUUUCAGAACUUUUAAAUUAAAAAAAAUCAGAAUUUUUUUUCUAAUUUUUAAAAUUUUGAAAAAAAAACUCCCAGAUAUUUAAAAGUAGAGAAAAAUUCAGUUUUUUUUUUUUUUUUUAAAUUAAGAAGAUAUUUAAAAGUUCUGAAAUUUAAUUAUCAAAAUAAAAUAAAAAAAUCGAAAUUAAAAAAAUUUCAGAUUUUUUUCAAAAUAAAAAGAUAUAUUUGUUUUAAAUUAUGCCACGUGGAAAUUAAAAAAUAAAUAAAUAUCAUAUCAGCACGCCACGUCAUCAAAUUUAUCCAGUCAGAUGCUGACUAUUGGCUGUGGGGGGUAAACCAAAGAAUCUUUAUUUUACUGGGGAGAAUCUCCAAGUUUUUAUUUUCAUAGCGGGGUAUACCAAAAAACCCUUAAAUGGCAUAGGGAUAAAAACCUAUUAACCUUUACCCAAUCAAAGAAAAAUAAGAGAUUCAAGUAUUGCAAUUAUAUUGCUUUACAUAACAUCUUUUUGUACAAAAUGCAUCUUCUCUAUCGUGGAUAUGUGUUGUUACACUCUUUUUUUUUUUUUUUCUUAAAAAAAAAAAAUCAACUCAUUUCAUUGCAUAUAAUUGAAAAAUACCAUCAAGAAUAUGAUCAAUUUUACUUCGAGGAGCAUAAGAGAUAGAUAUUUUUGCAAGAGCAUCAGCAUUGUCAUUAACUUGUUGUCUAGUAACAAUCUGAAAGUUAUCUUAACCUUCCAAGUAUGGUACAAAAAUAAUUAUGAGUGAGCCAUUUUAUGGUCUAACUGUUUUAGCUGCGCCAUCACCAACUACAUGUUUACGAUUCAUCUCAAAAAUUAUAUUUGGUAUUCCAACUGAGGUAAUUCAUUUGGUAAAUUGUAACAAUCACCAAACUUCACCUUCUGCAAUUCGAAUGGGGCCUGAACCAACUAGUUCUUGCCAUGAUAAGAUGUCAAUCCAUAUUCAUCACACAAGUUCCUAUUCCGACAUGAUUUUGGUGUAGAAAAAUUGCACCAUGCACAUUGAACUUCACGUAUCCAUUUGGGGAGGUGUAAAUUUAUGAUUAACAGUGGUGAAAAAUCAUUUGUUGUAGGAGUACCUAGUUUGCAAGCAUGUUGUCAAGAAUGUAAUAUUUUAGAUGCUCGAGAGAUAACUCUAUAUAUUCGUAUUAAAUAUAUUCAAAAUAUAUUUUUAUAGAACCUUAAUUUUGAACGAAUAGUUUGAAAAAAAAAAGUAUAAAGAAAGACAUUCGAAUAAUAAAUGAUACAACUUUAUUGAUUUAUCCGGGACACCAAAAAUCUUAAAACCUGUCCAGGCCGUUUUAUUGUCAUUCUCCCAAAGGUUCAAAAUUCUCUUCUUUCAAAUGCUCCAUGGAGUUAUAACAAAAAUGAUCGAAUGGUCUAUGUGGAAUUGUUUUGUACCUAAAAAAAAAUGCUAUAAGUAGCGAAAUGCUAUAUAUCAGACAUUCUUUUCCGCUAUUUUGGUUUUUUUGUGUCGUUUUGUUUUCUGCUGCUUCUGUAAUGUUCUUAUGUGUUUUUGUUUUUGGUUACUCUAUUUGUAUUGUGUUGUGUUUGUACCUUGUUGUUGUGUUUCAGAUUAAAGACCGGAUGACAUUAGUUGUGGCCUAUUUUGCAGUGGUUCGUCGUAAACCUGAAAGGGUAUGUUCUAUUAUCCCAAAAGGGCUGUUUGUUUUAUAACAUGUUGGACUCAUCCCUCGAUAUGGGUUCAAUCGCGUCUAAAGCCGGUUGUAUUGAUGGUCCUAGCUCGUUUCUCUGAUGUUCCAGGUCUGUUUAGAUCUGCAGGUCUCUAUGCGUCAAGUCUGCCUCCACUCCGGUACCGUCUCAAAAACCCAAAAAGGUAUGCUUACUAACGUAUUGGACUCAUCCCUCGAUCUGAGUUCUUACGUGUUGUCUUGCUCGAAAGGGUAUUUUAUGUUUGAUGUUGAUCAGGGAGCCGUUGGCACUAGAAUUUUGUUAUCGUGCUGGCGGUCGAUCCAUUCGCCAUUUUUAAACUCUAAUGAUUCUAUGUAGAUGUUCACUUUUCAUAUUUUUUUGUAACUUGGUUUCGCGCCCGUACGCGGGUUUGCUGGGUUGCGCCUGUGAUUAGUGAUUUUUUUGUUAGAACAAUUUAGAGUUGUCGAUCCACUUGGACUGUUUUAUUACGAUGUAUUCCCUUUUGGGUUACUCCUGGAUCAGGUCUAAUGCCCCCAGUCUUUGUAUCUCUUUCCUUUUAUUUUAUAUAUUUUCUAUUUUGCCUAAUUAAAAGCUAUAUAUCAGACAUUCGAAAAAUACAAGCGUCGACCUUUCAUAACAGAGGCAAAGAAAUUCAAGUCGGUCAUGGUUGGAAUACAGAGGUCAUCAACCAAUAAUACCCAUUCGCAAUGCAUUCACGAGAGUAAUUUUCGUUACAUAAAGCAUUUCCACUAAACAAAAUACAAAGCGUUUGGCAUCAAACAUGAGAUAUUUUAAAAUCAUCCGCAAGUAAUUUUGUUGUCUCUAACAAGCAAUGAUAACACCUUUAUUUCAAAGUUGUGAUCGAUCACAGAGACAGUAUUUAAUGCCAUAAAAAAUUUAAUUUCCACCAACCGCUCCUCAGAAACACAAAUUACUAAACGUGAAUGUAUCUAAACAUAAAUGACUUUAUCUACAAUUAACUUUUAAUCAAAAUCAAUUCACUCAAAAUCAAUUCUUCGCAAAAGAGAACUAAACAUUUCAUUAGCAAAUCCCAAUUCCUAAUCUAAUGAAGAGAAACAAUAAUGUCUCCUAUUUAAUCCAAUUUUAUUUGACUAGAGUGAUUGCACACAACACAAGAUAUUGAAAAUUUGAAAUCAUGAAAGAAACAUAUUGAAAACAAAAUUUUGGGCACGUUUAGGAUAAGGAACCAUCAGGUGGAUUGGAUGUGUUAGAUGAUAAGGCAUGCUGCUCAAAUAUCUUACUUAUCUAGCUGUGAAAGUAACGACAAAGUGGAACCAACGUAGAGUAAAUGGUAUUCCAUGAUUAUGUCACAUUCUUUUGUUUUUUCUUUUAUUUAUCUCCAAAACCACUAGACAUAGCCUCUGUUUUCUCCAAACCAUGUGUUUUUUUAUCUUGCUAGCUCCUGGUAUCUUGUUCCACUGAUCAAUCUUGGAAUGUCCAUAUAAAUAAGACCAACCAUCACUCCUUUUUUCUUCAUCAAUCAAUCAACAAACUCACUUUCAUAUUUACCAAACAACACUAUCUAUAUCUUAAUUUGAUAUCCAAAAAUCAUGAAUCGUGCAACAGCAACAAGCAAAGCAUGGAUGGUGGCUGCAAGUGUUGGAGUUGUGGAAGCUUUGAAAGAUCAAGCUGGUAUUUGUAGGUGGAAUUAUGCUUUAAGACAAGCUCAACAACACCUUAAAAACCGUGUUAGAUCAAUUUCUCAAGCAAAGAAUUUCUCUUCUUCUUCAUUUCUUGCUAACAAACUUAAGGAUGAGAAGAAGGCAAAACAGGCAGAGGAGUCUUUGAGGACUGUCAUGUACUUGAGCUGUUGGGGUCCCAAUUGAUUAAUUUGUACAUAGUGAUAUUAGAUUAGAUUAUUUAUGUAAAGUUUGUAAUAUCAAACUACAGUACUAUUAUUAUUCAAUGAGGAAAGUUUAUUCUUCACAUAUCUAUGUUUCAAAGUGCAUACCCGAUCAGUAUUGAAUUUGGUGAGUGUGUGUAUUACGAUGAUUAGAUGGUAAUGGUAUUUUGAUUACAUGACACAUGCUUUUUUAUCACACAACACUAAAUGAAAAUUGGACAGAUUAGAUUCUAAGUUGUGGGUUGAAUCCAAUCUAAUAAAGUUGGAAUCUGAUCUGAGUCAUGUAUAUGUAUUGUAUUGUAACCUUUAUUUAACUAUUUAGAUUUACUGCAUCAUUGUUUAAGAAUAGCAAAUCUGGAUUCCACACAGAUAGUGUAUUUAUCUUUGUCAUAGAACGGUUAAAUCAUCAAGUAAUUUAUGCAGUUUACUUGACUCACGAGAAUAAUUAGUAAAUCCUAGUCAAUAGGAAACUAUGAGAUACAUUUUAUUCCAUUUGUAUAAGCAUCGUAUAAUGUUAAUUUUUUGGUUCUAUUAUAUUCCAAGAGAUAAAGAUGGAGGCCAUUUCGGAGUCUUUAUGCUAUAAUCUUUAUGGUGAUGAAGAUUGUCAAUGGGUCUCCGUCCUUUGGUGGGAAAUAGCGGAGGUAUUUUAUCUAUUUGACGUAAGUUCGAAGCUAAGUUUAUUUUUUCUUUUGUGGGUGAAGGGUUGGAGUGUGCGUAGAUUGGAGGGUUACUCGGAAGAAGUGUUUUAUUAUCAACAUGUAUUCUAAAUGUGAUUUGGUGGCAAAGAGAAGGUUGUCGGAGAAGCUUGUUUUUCUACGGAACUACUUGGGUGUAGGUGCUUGGUAUUUUAUUGGUGACUUUAAUGCGGCGAAUAGUAGGGAAGAAAGAAGAGGUGUUAAUGGGGUGACGAGUGUGGAGUUGCGAUAAGAGAUUACCUUAUUUAAUGAGGUUGUUAAAGAUUUGGAGGUGGAAGAUGUGAAUCUUGUGGGCAGGAAGUUUACUUGGUUUCAUCCAAAUGGUCUAUUUAUGAGUCGAGUAGAUAGGGCUUUGGUAUCAGAGAAGUGGGGGAAGUAUUGGGGUAUUUGAUUUCUUUGGGCGCUUCCUCAAUAUGUGUCUGAUCAUUGUUCAUUGGUGUUGAAAACAGAUACUACCGAUUGGGGCCCAAAAUCGUUUCUGUUCAACAAUCAUUAGCUUGAAAACUGGAAGUUUAAGAAGGUGGUGGAGAGAGCUUGGGGGAACCACAAUGGGAGUGGUUGGAUGAGGUUUGUGUUGAAGUCCAAGUUGAAGGGUUUGAAGGGGGAUAUUAAAGAGUGGAAUAAGGCAGAGUAUUGGAAUAUGGAGAUGAGGUUAGUGAGUUUAAGGGAGGAUAUUGAGGAAUUGGAUGCUAAGAGUGAGAUGGGAAUAUUGACUAUGCAAGAAGUAGGGGAUAGAAUGUUGAAGUUUGCGGAGUUGUGGAGGUUGUGGAAGAGUAAGGAGGCUAUGUUGCUACAAAGGUCUAAAUCAAAGUGGCUUAAAGAGGGCGAUGCAAAUUCAAAGUACUUCCAUAAGUGCAUCAAAUCUAGGGCUCCUAGAAAUGGGAUUAAGACAUUAAAUGUGGGCAACAAAUGGGUGUACGAAGUAGGAGAUUAGAAGGGAGGUGGUGGAUAACCAAGUUGUUUGGGCUCCAGUGGCAAGGAGCUCCUUCCAAGGACGUACCCGGGGAAUACUGGGUUCGAUUCCCAAGGGGAACAACGCUUGGCCAGUGCGCAUGCCUCUACACAUGAGCCGGAUUAGUCGCCCACCUUUGGUGGAUCGGAAACUGGUGCGAAAGCCAAAAAAAAAAAAAAAGGGAGGUGUUGGAUUCUUUUGCGAAUCAUGGGUUCAAUUAGGGUUACAAAGAAUGAUCUCAGACCUCAUCUCUAAGAAAAUUAGCUAGACAUAGUUAAAGGAAUAAACAACAUAGUAAAGAAAAUAAACCGAUAGAGUUCCGUCGUUGCCGGCUUUACUCCUCAAUUUCUCUUCCUCGUGCUACUGUUGAUGUUGUUUUUCUAUAACCAUGUGCCUCCUAGCCGUCUUGUGAUGCGUGCCUCUCUUUUCUUUCCCAAUCAUGAAUCUCCGUAAUGCUCCAAAAGCGUGAUGUGUGCCAAAGCGUGAAUGAAUUGCAACCUGAAUAGUUUGGCCUCUUUUAUAAUGUUUCAAACCUAAGUUCUUUCUUUUCCUCCAAGCCUAAUCACGUUUUUCUUUCUUUUGAUUUGCUAAGCCCAAUAUAUUUUUCUCAUUACUUUUUAUUGACACCACCCAAUGAUUUACAACUCCUCCUUAUUUGGCUCUUUUGUAUCAAUCAUAUUUUCUCUUGCUUUCAUUUAUUUCCUUGUGCCACAUGUUCCUGAAAUCGUGUCACGAAAUAGCCAUCGUGACACGUUUUAACCAAUGUCGAAUGAACCUCAUCCUGUGCUCCAAAUCGUGACACGUUUUCGACAAUCGUCACACGAUUUUGCUUUCUUCAAAAUCUUCUAUUUCUCUUGCUUUCUUUGUUGUUUAAGCUUGUUUGUGAACUCAAAAUAUCAUGAAAAUGACACUAAAAACAGUGAAUGACUGACUGUAAUCAUCUAUUUUACUUAUACUAUAUUAAAAAUAGACUAAUGAUUAAUAAAAAUAAUUUACUUAAAUUAUUUUUAAUAUUUUUAGUCUUAUAACUAAUUUAUACGGCGUCAAAAUUAUAACUAAUUUAUAAGACAAUUUCAUAUGUGCUUUGAGUCGUUUUUUUGUUGUUGUAUGAAUGUGUAAUUUGGCAAACUAAGACAUCUCAUGGAAGUUGCGAAAGCUAGAGAAUCAAGUACAAUGAAAAUUUAAAGACAAAACAAUUCGGGGGAAUUUUGUCUCAAGUCCCAAUCUCAUAUCAAGGAUUAAAAAACGCAUGAAGAAUGAAACACAUAAGAGAUUUUGCAUAUGAUCAAUGCGUCUCACACAUUGACUACAAAGCAUGAACCUUGCAUACACAGAGAAUAGUAAUUAAACUAUGAAUACAUUUCGCCCAACAAGGACAUAGAGAGGAUUCAAAUAAUUAUAGUCGUCGUCAUUACUCUGUUAACAACAAAAGAGCAGUUAAAUCGAAAAGUAAAUAUUUUUUGUAGAACAGUUAAAUAGUUAAAUGUAAAAGUAAAUAUUUGUGUUAAAUAUGAUUUUGGUCCUUAUAAAUAUUCAAAAUUUUGUUUUAAAUACUCUACAGAAUAAAAUCACAUUUUUUAAUUUCUAUGACAUUUUGCUUUAGCAUUUAAAAUAAAAUAAAAUUGGCAGAAAAUUUUACAGGACAACAAAUGCUGACAAAUUUUUUUACAACAAUUAAAAGUGUUGAUGGAAAAUUGUAUAUGACUAAAAAAUGCAAUUUUAUUUUAUAAAAACUAAAAAUAAAAUUCUAAAUAUUUAUGGGGACAUAUAGUUUUAGUUUUAAAUAUUAUUGCUAUUAUUAGUUAAAUUAAAGUACCCUCAAUCCACUCAAAAAAAAGUGUACCCAAAAAAAAUUAAAAUACCAUCAAAAAAUUAGUUUAAAUAAAGUUUAACUUUUAUCACAAAAAGCGAAAAGAAAAGCUCGUUAUAUUAUUAUUAUUUUUCUAAAUAAUUUUUUUUUUGAAAGGAAAGAAAGAAAAACAAUUGAGAGGAGGAAAAAAUUUAUUAUUAGGUUUUUAAAAUCUCAUUUUUUUUUGAGAAAAAAAAAAACGAAAGCUUCUUACUUGUGAUACAAUCUAAAGCCUUAUCAGUAGAGGUGGACAGUCGGUCAGUUAGCAUUUUUCAUUCAUAGAAAUAUAAUUACUAAACACAGCAAAAAAAAAAAAAAAAACACAACAAAUUAUAUUCAUAGAAACAUAAUUACUCAACAAAAAAAAAAAAAACAGCACAUUUACAAAUUCCAACUCACUGUUAUCAAAGAUUAUAGUAUCAUUUCCUUCUUCAGCCUCCAUCUCUAGUGUUUCCAAAAGCCAAUGAACCCUAAACAAAAACAAGUAAAAAAAAAGAUUUAAUUAGAAAUCUUAAGGGUGAAAAUAAAUAUAAAAAAAGUAUAAACAUAUGAACAAAUGUGAUUAGAGCUUACAAACCUUUGAGAGAUCUUAAAAACUGAAUUGAGAUUCGGAUUUAUGUAACAAAAAAGAAAGGAAGGUUGAAAAUCUUGAUUAACAUAGUUGUUUGUGAUUUUUGUUUGAAUUUUUUUGUGGAAAAUGGAAGAAGAUGAACGAUUUUGUGAUUUAUGAUUUGUGAUUUAUGGGUUUUUUUUAGGCUUAAUUACACUUUUGGUCCUUGCAUUUUGACCAACUCACGAAAUUGGUCCUACCUCUUUUAAAUCGAACAAAAUCGUCCCUAAACUAUAUGUUUUUUUGCAGUUUUAGUCAUAUCUCCCUAUUUCCAACUCCAAAAACGCACAGAAAUGACAGUUUUAAUCCAACCGCCUAUGCUCAACCAUGAAAUAAACAAGGAAUAAAUCAUGUGGGUACAAAGAAUGUACUUUGUUCAGCACACUAACCAAGAAAAACCCUAAUUUCUAAGACAUGUUUCAGGUAUGUAACAUGUCUCAGAAAUUAGGUUAGUGUGCUGAAUAAAGUAGAUUCCUUGUACCCACAUGUUUUAUUCUUUGUUUAUUUCAUGGUUGAGCAUAGGUGGUUGGACUAAAACUAUCAUUUAUGUGCGUUUAUGGAGUUGGAAAUAGGGAGAUAGGACUAAAACUGCAAAAAACAUAUAGUUUAAGGACGAUUUUGUUCGAUUUAAAAAAGAUAGGACCAUUUUCGUGAGUUGGUCAAAAUGGUAGGACCAAAAGUGUAAUUAAGCCUUUUUUUUUUUUAUGAUGUUUGAUUUGAAGGAAAAAACAAUUUCUGAUGUAUGGAAGGAAAGCGGCCGCAACAGACAUGAAUAAGAGAACUAGGGUUUCAUGUUCUCACUAACUAUAUAUAUGUGGGUUGAACUGGACUGGAUCUUGGGCUGGAUAUUAGUGAUCUAAUUAUGGGUUGUACUCAGUUUGGAACAGUUUUCUGUGGGUUGUAAUUACAACCCGUAACCAACCAAUAAUAGCCACCCAAACCAUUGCAACUGAACCGAAUUAACCACUUAACCGCUCCGGCCCGACCCGUUACAUUUCGGCCCACCCGGUUUCGGCCGGCUUUAAAAACCUUGUCCAACCCUACUUACCACCAAUCGCCAAAGCUGUUCGUCACUGCCGUUUCUUCAUAACUUUUUUCUUCUCCAAAAACUUUCAGGUAACAUUUAAUUGUUAUUCGAAUUUUUGUUUUUUUGCUUCUUUAAUUUGAUUUUAGGGUUUCAUUUCUUACUGUGAUUUAUAGUUUUAAAUUUUUAGGGUUUCGUCUUAAUUCUUCGAUUUUUACAUUUUCAUAUGUUCAUAUGAUCAAUUUUAUUGUUUCGUGGCUUUUUAUUUUAUUUUAUUUUUUUAGAUUGUAUGUUUUUAGGGUUUAACAUUGCUUGUUUAAAGCUACAAUUUGUAUUGUUUCAUCGCUUCUUUAAUUUUAUUUUUAGUGUGUUAGGUUUUAGAUUUUUGGUGUUUAAAAUUACUUGUUCAAAGAUACAAUUUUUAUUAUGCCAUCGCUUAUUUAAUUUAAUUUUUAGGGUUAUAGGUUUUAUAGCUUCAACUUUUAUUAUUUCAUUGCUUGUUUAAUUUUAUUUUUAGGGUUUUGGUUGAUACAAUUUUCGAUAGUGUCUUCUUCGAUCGGUACGGUAUAUAUGAUCAUAUUAAUUUGAAUGUAACAUUUUUAAUUUAUUGCAAUUAUUUGUUAUCAUAAUGGUGUCCCUGAACUACCCCGUGCACGAGGUUUUCUCAAGUUUUUGUUUGUUUUCUUUUUUAAAGCUCUUCAAAAAUUUAAUGAGUUUUUGAAUUUUAUGCAGGUCAAUUCGAUUCCAUAUCAACACAACGAUUUGUUAUCAUCGUACAAAAACCUGUUAUCACAAUGUAUUCUUCCAAAUAUUCAUGAGUAUAAUGGGGUGAGAAGUCUCCCACUGGAGUUACAUCCAGUGGUGUUACCUCUCAUUAAUCAUUAUCCUAUGAGAAGCAUGAUUGCUCAAGCCCAUAGGAGCUGAGAAGACAACGUGUAUGGUUCUUGCUUCCCUAAAUACCAUAGAUCAUGUUGUAUAUUCUCCUGAGGCUCUUAUUAUAUGUCUGACUCAAGAUUUGGCCAUCAAGGUGUGUUUUUAACAGUAUAUCAUUAGUUCUUAUUUGACAUUAUCAUGGUUGAAUAAUUACAACAUCAUUCGUAUAUUUACAGUGCUUGGAUUGUAUUAAAAUUAUAACCAAUCUUACUGGAGUUACAUCAUUCUCUACAUUGCCAAAGGUUGGACGACUCUGGAAAGCUGGGCAGAACAAAGGUAAGUUUUUUAAAAUGGCAACUUAGUUUGUUUUGUAUAGUAAACUACUUGAAUCAUAAGUUGAAUUUCAGCAUGGUUGUGAAGAUUAUGCAUCUCAUGUUGUAUUUUUUAAGUCAUGCUUUAGGUUAAAAUGGUAUUUGUGCCUAUCAAAAGCUUGAAAGGGUCAUCCAUCAAUGGCUGGAAUUUGCCUCACAUGUCCAGUAUUUGGGUUUAUAACUGGUCCUAAGAUCAGACAUCGACUACUUGUUUAGAUAAACAACUUAUUUGCAGCUUAUAUCACAAGUGCUUAUCAUGAUAUGCCCUUACGUCUAAGCUUACGUAAGUUGUUUCUAUAUUAAAAGAUAAAAUAAUGUUAAAUUAUUUCAUGUAUAUGCUAUAAGUUGUUUGGUAAGUUAUCUUGAAGAACUUGUCGAAAUAAGCUGAAAGAAGCUUAUAAAAAAUGUCAUAAAUUGUCUCAUAAAACUUAUGCCAUUACACAAACUCAAAUAAUUGCAGUGAAUGAUGAAAAUUUAAGAUGAAAAAGUGAAGAAAAAGAGUGUCUCCUUGGAUUGUCUUAUCUUUGAGCUUAUGAAAAAUAGCUUAUACAAAUAAAUAAGUUUUUUUUUGUUAAUUCAUAAGUUUUCACUAACAAAAAUUAUAUCAUAAUAAGUUUUUUUUCAUAAACUACUUUGCCAAGCCAUAAAUAACAUAUAUAAACUUGUUUAUUUGCAUAAGCUAUUUUGCAUAUAUUCAAAAAUAAGUCAAUUCAAACGAACCCAUACACAAACACUAAUAGAUAGGUAGAUAAAUAUAUAGAUAUAUUUAAUCAAUUUGAACAAAUUUAUAAGUAUAAGUAUACUUAAAGGUUGAAUGAAACCUUAGAAGAAAAAAACUAUGCAAACUUGACAGAAAAAAUAUUGCACAUAUCAGACUAAGUUUAUGGUAUAAUAAUACAUACAAUACUAAGAUGUGCACCAAUUAUUCUUAAUGUUAAGUAUCAAAAAGUUAAAAGGUAACCAUUUUUAGUACUCAUGUGUUCACAAAAGUGUCUUUUAUUUUACGCAUUUGUGGAAAAAGAAAAAAAAAAAGAAUAAAUAAAUGAACACAAAUGACAGUAAAAAUAAAUAAUUAACUUUGUUGAUAUUCCCCGUAUAAUUUCAAAGUUGUAAAUUAUGUUUUAUAUUUUUUUUCAUAAAAUAAAGGAACAUUAUUAAAUCUUAUGCAAUUAUUUAUAAAAAUUAAUUCAGUUAUUAGAAGAAGAAAAAUAAUGAAUUAAAAGUGUGGUUAAACACCACGAUGAAACUUAAACGUUCCAACUUUGUUGGCACUUCCAAAAAAUCUAUUUUAUAUGUUACCCACUAAUAAAUUUAUUAAAAGAAAAAAAAAUUGUAUUUCUAAAGUGAAUAAUCAGUAAAAGAGAAUAAUCAGUAAGCAUGUCAUCACAUUAGAUAUGAAUCUAAUAAAAUAAAUACCACAAAACUCUUCCAUGAAUAUGAAAAAAAAAAAUCGCAUUUGAAUGACCAUAUUAAAUCAUAAAUUAAAAUUUCCGUUAUAUGUAACAAUUAUUAACAUUCUGCAUUAAAGAAUUCAUCUUAAGAUUUAUCAUAAACUUUUUCAGACAUCUCCCUAUCAAUAACACUUUCAAAUAUUCAAAUUCAACCAUCAUCUUUGCUCAAAUUCUUCAAUAUUUAGUUCUAAUAAUGCAACAUUAAAUAAAUUAAAUUCCUAACCAAAUUCCCACGAGUCAACUAGCAAACUUUUGAAUGAGUAUUGUUUUAGACUUAGUAUCGAACUAAACAAUUUAUGAACAGAAAAUUGACCAUAGAACUGCAAUUCAAGAUCUGAAAAAGAAUAUAAGCAAAAGGUUCACUCAUGCUACCAAAUAUUAAUCUCUGAUCUAAAGCAUGAAUCAAAUAUAAAAUAAAAAAAUAAAAAUAAAAAACACAAAUCAAGAUAAACUAAAACCCAAAAAAUAACUAUUGCUCCUCAUGUUAAAAAACAUCCCAAUAGAUUCUGAAAAAACAAAAAAUCAAUGGUUAUCUACAACAAUGUAAAAUAAAAUUACAAAUAAACAAAAAGCAUACAAUGCAAUAAUUAAUAAUAUUAAAUGCUAAACAUGCAAAAUAAUAAAACAAUCAUUUUAUUUCAACAUGGUCUUGUAUCUUUCAAAUCAUAAAACCCUCUGCCUCUUUUUGGGGCUGAAACGUUCUUCGGUCGCUGGAAUUGCAAACGAAAUUGGCAUAGGUGACAACUUUGCCAAACUGCCCAAUUCAUCCUGCAAAGGCCUACUAGGCGCUGGAGCACUUGCCGGAGUCUGCAUUGGCAACUCCUUUGCAGGCCCAGAAGACGCAUCUUUAGCGGCUUGCUUUCCAUCAAAAUGAUUUUUCAGAAGGAUUUUUACUUCCUCAGGUGUUUUCUCACAAGGUUUCACUUCUCCCUUGAUCCCUAAUUGAAGUUUUUUGGCUCUAGUGAUUCCUCCAGUUGGGUGUCCGCAAAAAUCACAUAAAAUUAUUUUUUUACUCUCAUCUUUGUAAGAACUCCAUCGCCAACCAAUAUCAGUGGAUUUACGAUGAAUAGGUUUAAAAUAACCCUUGGCAGUUGGUGUUAGACUUGCAGAUGAAGUUGAUGCCAUUGCAAACAAAACCGAGUAAAAAUUGGGCGAACAUAACUAAGCCUAAACAAAAUAAGAAUAAACUAUUAAAAAUGAAGCAUAACACAUAACGCAAAGAGGAAAAUCGAAGCAGAACACAAGGAAAAAAGGAUAAAACAAACCUUUACACAAAAAUAGAGCAUCAAUGAAAAAACACGAAAUAGAGAUGAAGAACGAUGGCAGGGAAGACAAAGGAACACUCAAAGAGGAAGGAACCGGGCAACAAUGUAGGCUCAAAGAGAAGAAGGAACAAAACUAGAUGCAGCAGCCACAAUUGUGCUCUUAAACACCUAAGUAAAAAAAUUAGGUCACCCAAAAUAUUAUGAAAACACUAAUAUACCCUGAAUAAAUUAAAACAAUUUAAAAAAAAAAAAUCUUUAAGAGAAUUUUCUCCCAAAACGACAAUAACAUGGUUAACAAAUUUGUUCAUGGUACUCUCUUAAACGACAAUAACAUGGUUAACCAUGUUAUUUUCGAUUUGGGAGAAAAUUCUCGUAAAUAUUAAUUUUUUAAAUUGUUUUGAUUUAUUCAGGGUAUAUUAGUAUUUUCAUAACCUUUUGGGUGACGUAAUUAUCUUACCUAGGUGUUUAAGAGCACAAUUGUGGCCACUGGAUCUUGUUUUGUUCCUUCUUCUCUUUGAGCCUACAUUUCUUCCCAGUUUCUUCCUAUUUGAGUGUUCCUAUGUCUUGCUCUGCCAUCGUUCUUCAUCUCUAUUUCGUGUUCUGUCAUUGAUGCUCUAUUUUUGUGUGAAGGUUUGUUUUAUCCGUUUUUUCCCUGUGUUCUGCUUCGAUUUUCCUCUUUGCAUUGUGUUUUCUGCUUCAUUUUUAAUAGUUUAUUCUUGUUCUGUUUAGGUUUAGUUCUGUUCGCCCAAUUCUUACUCGGUUUUGUUUCAAUGGCAUCAACUUCAUCUGCAAGUCUAACACCAACUGCCAAGGGUUAUUUUAAACCUAUUCAUCAUGAAUCCACUGAUAUUGGUUGGCCAUGGAGUUCUUACAAAGACGAGAGUAAAAAAACAAUUUUAUGUGAUUUUUGCUGACAUCCAACUGGAGGAAUCACUAGAGCCAAAAAAAAACAUCAAUUAAGGAUCAAGGGAGAAGUGAAACCUUGUGAGAAAACACCUGAGGAUGUAAAAAUCCUUCUGAAAAAUCAUUUUGAUGGAAAGCAAGCCGCUAAGGAUGCGUCUUCUAGGCCUGCAAAGGAGUUGCCAAUGCAGACUCCGGCAAAUGCUCCAGCGCCUAGAAAGCAUUUGCACGAUGAAUUGGGAAAUUUAGCAGAGCUAUCACCUAUGCAAAUUUCGUUUGCAAUUCUAACGACCGGAGAAUUUUCUACCACAAAAAGGGGUAGAGAGUUUUAUAAUUUGAAAGAUACAAUACCAUGUUGAAACAAAAUGAUUGUUUUAUUGUUUUGCAUGUUUAGCAUUUAAUAUUUUUAAUUAUCGCAUUGUAUGUUUUUUGUUUGUUUGUAAUUUUAUUUUACAUUUGAUGUAGAUAACCAUUGAUUUUUUUUGUUUUUUCAGAAUCUGUUGGAUGUUUUUUAACAUGAGAAAUAGUUAAUUUUUGGGUUUUAGUUGAUUUGCUCUUGAUUUGUGUUUUUAUUUUGUUUUUAUAUUUGAUUCAUGCUUUAUAUCAGAGAUUAAUAUUUGGUAGCAUGAGUGAACCUUUUGCUUAUAUUCUUUUUCUGAUCUUGAAUUGCAUAUGUAUGGUCGGUUUUCUGUUGAUCAGUUGUUCAGUUCGGGACUAUGUCUAAAAUAAUACUCAUUCAAAAGUUUUCUAAUUGACUUUUGGGAAAUUGGUUAGGAAUUUAAUUUAUUUCAUGUUGCAUUAUUAGAACCCAAAAUUGAAGAAUAUGAGCAAGGGUGAUGGUUGAAUUUGAACAUUUGAAAGUGUUAUUGAUAAGGAGAAGUUGAAAAAGUUUAUGAUAAAUCUUAAGAUGAAUUCUUUAGUGGAGAAUGUUAAUAAUUAUUACAUAUGAUGACAGUCAGUCAUUUGCUAUUUUUAGAGUCUUUUUAUGAUAAUUUUGAGUUCACAAGCAAGCUUAAACAACAAGGAAAGCAUGAAAAAUACAAGAUUUUGAAGAAACAGUUGUUUUGAUGUUUUUAUUGAGUCUGUAGCAAUUUUAGACAGCAUGGGGGUGUAAAACGCAGAAAUUCUGGAAGUGCUGGAAAUUGGCAACCGUGGCGCGAUUUUGAGUGGCUUGGCGCGAUUUUCUGACCAGAAUGAAGGUUUGGUUCUGCCACAAAAAUCGUGGUACGAUUUCUGGUGGCGUGGCGCGAUUUUUCAGAAUCGUGGCGCGAUUUUAUGAGGCGUGGCGCGAUUUUAUGAGGCGGGGCGCGAUUUUGGAGCAGAAAAUGUUGCCUAUUUAAGCUGAAGACUAUUCUGAAAACAAGGGUUACGAUUUUGGAGAGCUAAAGUGCGAUUUUAACACCCAGAAGACUGCAGAAGGGGCGAUUUCAUCAUCUCUAAUCCAGUUUAUGUAUGUUUUAAUUUUUCCAUUGAUUAUGCUAUUUGUAAACUCAAUUAUGAGUAGCUAAAUCUCUUAGAGAUUAGGUCUGAGAUGAUUCCUUGUAACCCUAAUUGAUCCAUGUUGCUGUGAAACUCUAUUUAUUAUUAAUGACAAUCUAGUUUUUAUUCAAUUCAAUUGUUCUUAAUGCUUUUUAUAUCAUGAUCAAAUAUAAACAUGAUUUAGUGAGAACGAAUGACUACUGACCCUAGCUUUCGACUUUGACCUAAUUGAAUUGUUCUAAUAAACAUGGUUAGUCUAGGAAUGGAUAAUCAUUUGUUAGUGAUAUUAGGUUAAGGUGCUUUAAACCUUCGAGAAUUAUUAGACCACCUAAGGAAUUAGGGGCUGUAGUUUGAGAAGAGGGUCCUAACUCAAGGGAUUGAUUAGGGCUAUUUUGUUAACUAUCGUGGAACUAGAAAAUCAUUAAUACGAAUAGGUUCAGUAUAUCAAUUAGGGGAACAUCGAUGAUUCGAAAGACCUGAUCUCAUCUCUCUCCUUGUCUUUUCCAAAACUAUCUCAUUUUCUGUUAUUUAAAUUUAUGCAAUCAAAACUACUGCCUCGGGCACUAAAAGAAAUUUACACAUCCUAGAUAUUAACGUUAUUGCUAAAUUGAGAUUAACACAGUCCUCGUGGGAACAAUAUUUUUACUACUUCGAUAGUAUUUGGUACACUUUCCAAAAUUUCUAUCAACAUAUAACGAUAGUUUUAAUUUAUGAUUUAAUAUGGUCAUUCAAGUGCACAAUUUUUUUUCAUAUUCAUGAAAAAGUUUUGUGGUAUUAUUCACUUUAUUAGAUUCAUACUGUGAUGACAUGCUUACUGAUUAUUCUCUUUAGUGCAACAAAAACAUGCACUAAAGAAAAGAAAUUAAAGAACCCAAAGAUUAGACGUUGUUGAUCAACCUUCACCAUUAAAGCGAGUGUUAUAGGCAAGCAUAAAUGUAAUAAGGAUUUAAAGUUAGGAUCUAUUUGUAUUUCUAACAUAUAUAUUAUUUAUUCUCACAUUACAAACAUGAUUCAAAGGGACUUAUUGAAUACAUGAAGAAUGAAAAGAAUAUAUAUUUUUUGAAAGAUAUAAAAGUGGAUCAUGUAUGUAGUUGGUAUUGUUGCUUGUGAUUUGAAUACAUGAAGAAUGAAAUUCAUAUUUAAUACACAAAGAAUGUGACAUAUUGUAUUAUUUCAAAAAAUAUAUUGGUGGUUCAUGCAUGUAGUUUGUGAUUGAAAAAAAAAUCAAUUGUAUGUGAUUUAUCUAAAUAGCAUUUGUUAGGGACGACACAACACAUAUUGAGGCCUAAAGCAAAUUUUAAGAUAAGACCCUUUUAAAUUUCGUAAUAGUACUUCAAUAAAAUUAAAUUUAUUUUAAUUUUAACUACAUUUUUCCAGACAUUUUAGAUGCAAAAUCAUGUAUUAAACUGAUAUGAUCAAUUUCAUUUGAUAUUUAUUUUUCUAUCGAUGAUAGAAUUAACCGGUUUAAUCUUUAUUGACUAUAUUAAUUUUAGUAGAAUGUGAGACAUUUUUCAAUUAACUUUUUUGUUUUGACAAAAUCAAGUAAAUUUUUAAAAAUAGUAGAAUAUAAAGUCUUUUUUAUCAUGUAAUUAUAUUUUAAUAUUUUUUUAGGCAUAUUGUAAUUGCAUUGGUGGCCUUUGUCCUUGAGCCAGCUGUAGCAAUUGUACUUCAGAAUUUAUUAAAAUAUAUAAUUUUAAGUUUUUUUUGUAUAAUUUAAAAUAUUAUAACAUGUUAUAGUUUUGAGUUUAGAUUCAUAGCAAUUUGAAAUUAUAUAUGCAUAUUUUUAUUUUGGUGUGUGAAUAUUUACAUUUUGUAUCAACUAUAUUCAAUUGUAAUUUCUUUAUUUUGAUUCACUCUAGUUGUAAUCCUCCUGCAAAGUAAGACACAUAUAUGUAGGAUAGUCUGCAAACGUGCAAAUACCACAAAACUUCUAGUCCUUAAAUACUGAAAUCACUCAGAAUUUAUGCAACAUAUAUCCAGUGUAAACACGUACAAAAAUGAUAAUUUUAUUUUAAACUAAAAGAAACAAAAUCAAAAACCUGAAAUCACACUUAUUUUAAUUUUAUAUGUAUCAGUGUCAUUGUCCUCUGCUUUGGACAUUAGUUGUGGCUCAGUUCAUUUUUUUAUUGAUAUAAAAUGCUUGUUUACUAGUUUUGUUUAAGAGUUUAAUAAGCACGAACUAUAAGUGUAUAUAAGUUUAGUUCAGUUCGGUUUAUUUCAGUAGCUAAAAAUUGAUUUCGUUUGAUUUUUUUAUAUUUUUUUCAACGGUAUUAAUAAUAUAUAUAUAUAUAUAUAUGAGGGAUCAAAUUUAACCGCUUUAAAGUUACACCAAUGUUACACCGCUUAAUAUUGUUUUACUCUAUGCAUAUUUUUUAAAUUUGAGCGUUGGAUUGUAGGUUUAUAUCACAUAGAUCAUCCACGUAAAUCUUCACGAAAAUCUAAAAUCGUUUCAUAUGUUAAUAAGAUACAUCAAGAUUAACGGUUUAUGCACUUUUAUAGAACACAGUUAAUCUUAACGUAUCUUAAUAAACUUUAGAUUUUCGUAAAAAUUUACGUGGAUGAUCUAUGUGAUAUAAACUUACAAUGCAACGGUCAAAUUUAAAAAAUAUGCAUCGAGUAAAACGAUAUUGAGAAGUGUAACAUUGAUGUAACUUUUAAGCGGUGUAAUUUGAUCCCUCCUCAUAUAUAUAUAUAUAACUUGUCAAAAAAUAGUGUAAAGGGACAUUCCUUUAUUAUUUGGAAAAAUUACUCUUAUUGUCCCUUAAUGUAAUUUCAGAUAACAGUUCUGUCUUUCUUAAUAUUUUUUACGUCAUAUUUGAUGUAGUAUUAAAAGUAAGUAUGUUUUUAUAUAGUCUCUUCAAGGAAUAGUGCGAUCCCAUAAACCGUUCAACAUCGAUUAUCAUUUUAAGUUAGGGUUUAAUUGAUUGAUUGUUGUAAAACUGUGUGAACUAUAAUACAAUAAUAAAAAUGGAGAGUAAUAAGGCGUAAAAGCGUUGGGAUUAGAGGAUCAGAGCUCGCCAUGGUGAGAAAAUAUUGCCUGGCGAGCUGUGGAUGAUCUAAAAAUGAACUCGUUGAGGUAAGCUUUACUGUAUUCCAUAUUAGUCGGCCUCAAUUCAAUUAAUCUAAAAAUCUUAUUUUGUUUACUUUGUCAUGAUUGUCACAAUACACAUAUUUUAAAACAAUUCGAUCAAUAUUGGUGAGAACUCACGUAGUAAAAUGAGUGAAUAGGCAAAAAAAACUUCGAAAUUGUAACUUUUCGUCAAAAUCAUUACUGACUUUUACGAAAUUUCAAAAACUUUCAUGAAAUCGUCAAACGUUAGUCAAUUACCCCCUUCCGUUUAUUUUGAUUGUUAAACCUUGUGACGCGACAAUUAUCUGUACUUGUGAGACCUCGCUGAACCUUGUGCCAUCCCUACUAUAAACGAUGUGUGCCUUGAAUUAAGGAUGAGCAAUGAAUGAGCAUUGGCAAAUUGCAAGAUGUGUGGUCCUACGAUUACAAAUGAAGUCCAAAUACAAGUAUUGAGAUUUUCUUUGAUACUACUUCCUAUUUCAGUUCAUGUAACCACAAAAUAAAUACCCCCAAAAAACCAAAACCAUGUGCCUUUUUUUCCCACCAACAAUACAUCGCCAACACAGCCUCUUGUUUUCCUCACAAACUUAAUGGAGUCAUCUAGUCUAGUCUAGUCUAGUAAAAACAAAACUUUAAAGAAUCAGAUGAUAUAUUUGAUCUCUUUUUUACACACAGAAAAAGAUUCAAAAAUAUUUGGAAAAGUUUAAAUAUUUAAUUGAGAUAGAGGUGAGGUGAAGUAUACAUAUAUCUGAAAACCGUAGCUCCUGGUUUUGUUAUAUUCUUUGGGCGUCUUUAAACUUCUAUAUAUAAUAAUUUCCUUCACUCUUCUAGCUCAACCAAAACACAUGAUACCACUUCAAGUAAGCAAUUUUCUUUGUCAUCUAAAAAGCUACAAAAUCACUUGAAUUAGACAAGAUGAGUUCAACAAGCAGAGCAUGGGUAGCUGCAGGCAGUGUUGCAGUUGUGGAAGCAUUAAAGGAUCAAGGAAUAUGCAGAUGGAAUCAUACCCUAAAGUCAGUUCAAAAUCAUGUCAAAAAUAAUGUCAGAUCGUUUUCUCAAGCAAAAAAACUUUCAUCUUCUUCCUCUUCUUCUGCUAUGGUUUCUAAUGCUAACAAACAACAAAAAGAGAAAGCAAAGGAAUCAGAAGAAUCUUUGAGGAAAGUCAUGUACUUGAGUUGUUGGGGUCCUAAUUAAGAGGAGCUUUGGUUGUUGCAACAGAUGUGGGACCGAUGGAAACAUUGAAGGAUCAAGGGUAUUGCACUUUGAAUGGGUUCCUUAGCUCAUCAUGCCAAGAAAGUACUAUCUCCUACUUCUUCAACAAUUUCCAAAAAGCUCAUGAGUGAUGAGAAGAGGAAAGUAGAGGAGUCUUUGAGACCCUUUCUGUUCUUGAGCAUAUGGAGUCCAAAUUGUAAGAACAAAAAAUGGAAACAAAAUUAGCAAAAUUCAACAUCACAGAAAAAUUUGCAAUAAUAUGUAAAUCUGUUGAAACUUGAGAGCUGAGUGCUCAAAAGUUAAAAUAUCACUUUCAUUAUGUAAAAUUGCUAUCAAAUAAAAAAUUUACGUGCUUAAUUUGUUGAAAAAAAUUUGUAAUGUGAAUUUAGUUUCUAGAAAAAACCAUGUCAUUUAACUUGUUUUUUAAUCCCACUGUUGUGAAAGUGCCUCAAAAUUGAAGAAAUUCACCGAUUUUCAGAGCACGGUGGCCGAUUUUCAACUCUGCUUUUUUUGUCUGUUGGUUCAGCAAAAAUCAGUGGCCGAUUUUGACAGUAGAAAAUAAAACAGAAACGUAUUUUCGGGCCUAGAUUUAUUCCAGUUUUAUUGAGGAUUUUUUUACUAUAAAUAUAGACAUUGUAUCGGUGUAAACCUGGAGAUAGAGGGGGUUGGAACAAGGGUUUAGAAAGGCAACAACAAAACUAGGGUUUUGUAGAGAUAGAGGGGGCUGAAACAAGGGUUUAGAAAGGCAACAACAAAACUAGGGUUUGUGUAGAGUUUGUCUCUUGGAAACAAACACUAGGGUUUGAGGGUUGAUUCACCAUGGUAAACACUAUUAGGAUUGAGUCUCUUGGUAUUGGGGGCUUUGGGUAGAAUUAGGCGGGAGACUUAUUUUUGUAACCUUCUCUUUCUUUUCUUUCGCUGUUUUCUACUUUUAGCUUGUGAUUAUAAUUGUUCCAUACACUUUGUUUUGGUUGCUUGAUUAUUCCUUGCUCCAUACAUCAAAUUUGUUAUUGGUGUGAUUUUACAUCAAAUUCACAAUACCCACAAUACUAAAUGAAUAUUGGACACUUGACAUUCUAAGUUAGUGUUCUGAAUCCAAUCUAUUAAAUUGUAAUCUGAAUCAUGCAAUUUCAUAAUAAUUAGAAUGAAUUUGAGGUUGAUAAAAAUGAAGAAUUGCUACUAAAAGAUCAGCCUCCCCUGUUGCUAAAUUAACACAAACCGAAUCCAAUGACCAAAACAGUCCUAAAUUCGACAUUCACGCUCAGCCAAUGAUGCAGACUGAUUAACACCGACGGCUUGCUAGAUAACUAUUUCCAUAACAGUCAUUUUAUUUCUUCAAACCAAGUCUCCGUUGAUCUAUUGCGACAUUUCCACAAUAUCCAGAUGCAUAUGUAAGUUCAACGCCAUAAAAAUGCAUAUGUAAGUUCAACGCCACUUUUAUGAAGCUAAAAAUUCUAACUUCAACCUACAAUGAGUUUAUACAGAGGAGACAAUUCUCACCUUAUGAACCAAUUUUUAAGGUGAGGAUUGUCUCCUCUAUAUAAACUCAUUGUCCUAUCCGAUGUGGGACUCUUAACACAAUUAUUAUUUCUUCAAAAAUUAUUUAUAUAUAUUUAUCUUUCAAUUAAAUUCUCACACCUUAUAAUUAUCCACACAUAGGUCCGUGUACCAAAUUUCAGCUGCACCAAAUUAUACCUCAUCACCUGCUGGGUUUUUACAACAAACAAUGGUUUUAGGCACUUUGCUCACACAUUCCAAACCGUGGUUCCGUACAGUCCUAAACGAUUCUAUAACUACAACAUUAUAAUUUUGUCACUUACAUGAGCAACAAUGAGCACCUAGUGCAAUUUGCAUGGUCCUACAAUUACAAAUCAAGUCUAAAUGUAGGGAUUGAUAUAUUUUAUUGAGAAAUGAUAUUUGUACAACUAUUUUAGUAUAAUUUUUUGACAACUUUCUUUCUCAUACUUACAUGAUGUUAUUAUUCUCUCUCUUCCUUUUUCUCUCUCCAUUGUUUUUGACCAAUCAAAAGAGAGAGAAACAAAAUUGUCACCAAAGUUAUCAUUAAAUGAUGUACAAAUAUCAUUGCUCUAUUUUAUUAGAUACCCUAUCUAUUUCAAUUCAGCUAAUUAACGACAAAAAUAACCCACAAAACAAAAACCAUGUUCCCCUUUUUUUAUUUUCCCACCCACACGCACUCCACACAGCAUCUGGUUUUCCUCCCAAACUAAAUUAUUGUCACUUUUUCUAUCCCAACACUAUAUAUAUUAACACUACAACCUUAGCCUAUUUUCUACAUCACUACUACUACCUCAUCAACCAUUAAUCAAUAUCUCUUGUCAAAAACAACAAAAAAAAAAACAUUAAUCAAUAUCAAAUUGCUUAACACUACCUUUCUUCUUAACAAUUAAUACAAUGAGUUCAAGAAGCCAAGCAUGGAAAUGGAGUGUGGCAACAAGUGUUGGAGUGGUGGAGGCUUUGAAGGAUCAAGGAAUAUGCAGAUGGAACAGUGUUAUAAGAUCAGCACAACAGCAUUCUAAACAUAACAUGAGGUCUUUGUCUCAUGCCAACAACAAAAUUCCUUCCACAAAAUUGAGGGACGAGAAAUCCAAGCAGUCAGAGGAAUCUUUGAGAACUGUCAUGUUCUUGAGUUGCUGGGGUCCCAACUAAAGAAAGAAACAUUUUGAAUUAUGCAAAGGAAGAUCCAAUCAAACACAAGAGUUUUUGAUCAAGAUUAAUUGAGUUUGAAACAAGUGAAUGAAUCAUCCUCUUUAUUGCUUUGGAACUUGAAGUGGUCUUGGAAGUGAUUCAAUUUUUGCAUGGAUAGAAAUUUGUGUAUAUAUAGGAUUUACUAUUAUAUGAUAUGAUAUGAGAUGUAUUUUAUAUGGAGAUGACUCUUAUUAAGCUUUUAUUCAUGGAUUUAUAUAGAGUUUAAUAGCUUAUAGAAGAACAUGAGAUUUACUAAAAUUCUUAGGCUAUGUUUGGAUAUUUUAAAACGAAUGGAAUGGAGCGGAGCGGAAUAGAAUGGAGCGGGAUGGAAUGGAACGGAGCAGGAUGAAGUUUCCAUUCCAUUGUUUGGGUAUUUUAUAGAACUCAUUUUACGACGGAACGGAACAAACUUGUUUAUUCCAUUUUUACCCUUAUUUAAAAAUACUAUCAUAUAUAGAAUUGUAUAGUUAUAAUAAAAUAGUAACAAAAAUAAUAGUAGCAAAAAAGUUUUAAUUUUGUUUGAAAAAUUUGUCCAUCACGUUACCCCCACCAAUUCCAUUCGUUGCGUUUUUUACAUUUUUUUAUUUAAUUAUAAUGAACUUUCAUUGAUUUUCAUGAGUAGUUUGGCUUUGUAGAAAGGAUUUUGAUGUAUUGGACUGUCUAGUGCUAUGUAGAACAGUGUUGUAGAUCAGAAAUUUGUGGCUACCAAUUGGAAAUAAAAAAAAAACUGGGUUAAAAAGGUAAUUGUCAAAUUAAUAGACCUCAUUCCAUUCUAUACACCCCAAAUUGGGAGGAAUGAAAAUAAAGGAAGAUGAUGGAAUGGGAUGGAAUGGAUUCCAUCAUAUACCACUCCAUUCCACUCAUUUUUUAAAUAUCCAAACAAUGGAACUCUAUUAUAUACCACUCCAUCCCAUUCCAUUCCACCACAUGCCAUCAUCUUCCUUUAUUUUCAUUCCUCCCAAUUUGGGGUGUAUAGAAUGGAAUGAGGUCUAUUAAUUUGACAAUUACCUUUUUAACCCAGUUUUUUUUUAUUUCCAAUUGGUAGCCACAAAUUUCUGAUCUACAACACUGUUCUACAUAGCACUAGACAGUCCAAUACAUCAAAAUCCUUUCUACAAGUUUGGAGGGGAAGGGAAGGGAGGGGAGGGUUUUGGGGGUUGAAAAUAUAUAGAAAAAUGGACAAAAAAAUUCACAUUUUUUGAAAGAACAGUUUUUUAGAGAAUGAUAAACUAAUUCUUAUGAUUAAUAUACUUUUAAUUUUAAGAAUAUUAUAACAACAUUGAUUGGAUUUGAAAAAUUUAUAUAAACUCUCCAUAACCCCCCAAAACCCUCCCCAAUACAAUUUUUGAGUUCCCCAAAUGAGAGAGAUUUUUUAUUAUGAGUAAAAAAUUAACCUCCAAAACCCUCUCCUUUCAAUGUCUUCUAUUUCUUCUACUUGCUCCUUCAUUUUUUCCAAAAUCCUCCCCUCCAAACUCUCAAAGAAAACCUUAACAAACAUUGAAGACGAAACUUGGCAGCAAUAUACUGGAAUGAUAGAAAAUAAUCAUCGAUUUGUUAGAUUAAUAAUUGAAUUAAUAUAUACAAGAUUUAUAAGAUAUAUAAACCUUGAACAUAAAGUGGGGAGGUAUAGAAACUUGUACGAUAAAAAAACAUAAACUCGUCUAAAUAAGGAUUUUAUUUAGGUGUUAUUGACUUUUUAUAAGUUAUUAGUGUUUUGGUGUAUUUUAGAUGAGAAAAAAAUAAUAGAAGAAUUUUUAAAAUAAAUUAUUUAAAUGAGAGAGAAGGGAUUGAUUACCAUAAAGAUAGGAACAAAAUGCAUUAAAGACGUCAAAGACCAGCUACAACAACUUGCAUUGCAAUUCACUUAUGAUGAAAGCUCUCUUUUCUAUCCAAUCUCCCAAUGAGGUGAGAACAACACGAGGAUGUCAAACUUGAGUUGAUCUUCUAUCUCUUUUCUAUCCAUUUAAUACUAACUAAGUAAAAUUAAUAAUUUAGGUUUCUCUAACCAGUACCCUCAUUGUGAGGUUAAAGAUUCUACAAAUAGAAAUUUUAUCUUAAAAAUAUAAGAUAUUACUUUGAUCAAAUAAUAAUUACAUAACUUUUUCAUUAAAACGGGCUUGUUUUGGAUGUUUAACAAAUGUCAUUGGAACACUAGUUAGCAUUCUCUUAAUAAUUUUGAUGUUUUUAAAAAAUGGUGUCCUAGGUUGUCGAUGUCGUCUCUUCCGUCCACCUCAGAGCCACCACUGAAUUUAAUGAUACAAAGUUAAAAUUGAAAAAAAAAAAUUGUUGUCAAAGCCAAAAUAUAAUAUCUUGAAAACUAAAAGAAGAAAAAUUGUCACCUUUUUAAUCGUGUUUGAUUAGAGGUUUUUUUUUUUUAAUAUUUGACUAGAGGGGAUGCACAAUGAUAUCCAAAUCAUAAUUAAAAAAAAAAAAGUGAAAACAAUUUUUUUAGACACGUUUAAGAUAAGGACCCAUUAAGAUGAGUUGGAUGGAGUGAAUGUAAUGACAAAGUGGUCCAAGGUAGAUUAUUUUGUUUUACUUAAUUUCCAAAACCAGUAGAUAUAGCCUAUGGUUUCUCCAAAACCAAGGGUGUUAUUUAUCUAGCUAGCUCAUGGUAUCUUAUUUCAAUCCAUAUAAAUAAGAUUAGCCAUCACUCCUCUCUACUCCAUCAAUCAACAAUCUCAUUUUCAUAUUUACCAAACAACACUAUCUACUUCUUCUAUAUUUUGAUAUCCAAUCCAAAAACUAACAACCAAAAAUCAUGAAUCGUGCAACAGCAACAAGCAAAGCCUGGAUGGUGGCUGCAAGUGUUGGAGUUGUGGAAGCUUUGAAAGAUCAAGCUGGUAUCUGUAGGUGGAACUAUGCUUUAAGACAAGCUCAACAACACCUUAAAAACCGUGCUAAAUCAAUGUCUCAAGCAAAGAAUUUCUCUUCUUCUUCAUUUCUUGCUACCAAAUUUAAGGAUGAGAAGAAGUCCAAACAAGCAGAGGAGUCUCUAAGGACUGUCAUGUACUUGAGCUGCUGGGGUCCUAAUUGAUUAAUUUGUAAAUAUAAUUAUUAUAUUACAUAGUGAUGUUAGAUUAGAUAAACUAUGUAAAGUUUGUAAUAUCAAACGGCAAUAUUAUUCAAUGAGGAAAGUUUAUUCUUCAUAUCUUUGUUUCUCAGUGCAUACCCGAUCAGUAUUUUUUUUAUUUUUUUUUGGUAGUGAGUGUGUUAUGAUGAUCAGAUGGUAGUACUUUAAAUUUGCUAUCAACAAAAACUUACCACAUCUUGAUUAAUUUGUUCGUGAUAAAUAUUUUUGAGCUGAGUGUUUAAAAGUUAAAACAGAACUAUUGAAGUAGAUGAUUGUGUAUUAAGACCGAAUAGAUGGAGUAGUGUAAAUUUGUUAUCAAUAAAAGUAUACUAGACUAUACCAUAAUUUGUGUGAUAAAUUUUGUGAUGUGAAUUUACAUUCCAAAUUUUCUUCCAAUUUUGAAUUUGAUUGAGACAUACAAAAGAAAGAUGCUUAAUUGUUGUGGGAUAGGUUCUAGCAUCAACUUAUCACACAAAUUUGUAUUUGGUGCAAUGAAGCCAGAUGAUAUAAUUGUAGAUCAGUGCUGAAAAUGGGCAUAUUCACAAGAUCGUUUGUUUAUUUUUUAAAAAGGUGAAUGAGAGGACAAAGAUAAAGAAAAUAAGAAUGAAGAAAAUUUAGAUGAAGACCGUGUUGGUUUGACGUAUAAUAACUUGCUUCUUGUUGACGAGCAAAAUCUUGUUAAUAUUGUUGAUAGUACAUUUAAUUGGAUGAUCAAUGUUGAUACUUCAGCAUGCCAUUCUUAGAAAAGAUAUUUUCUGCUCUUAUACACUAGAUAAAUUUGGUGAUGUGAAGUUGGCUCAUGAAUGUUGUUGACUUUGGAGAGGCUAAAUUGAAAUUGUCUAAUGGUACCAAAUUAAAUUUUAAGGAUGUGAAACAAUGUUUCAGACAUUUGGUUGAAUUUAUUUUCAAUAGAUACAUGUUAUGUUAUGCUAUGAAAGUUAUGAGAACUUGUACUUGGGGGACACUUAAAAUUUACAAAUGGUUCUAUGAUUGUUGCAAGAGGUGUGGACAUGUUGUCAUAUGAUGUUUUUUCCUUAUCACUUAUCUUAAUUUUUAGUUUAGUCCUUAGUGUUUUUAGACAACUUGGAGGUAAAGAAAACAAAGAAUUAUACGAUUUUGAAUUUACAACAUUGUGACACAAUCUCUUUUAUCGUGGCACAAUUUUUGAAUCAGAAUAAGGAGUUGCUACUAACUUGUAAAUCAUGGAAUGAUUUGCAGAAUCUUGACACGGUUUUGAUAGCAUCAAACCUGAGAUUUUGAAUUUAAUGAAGCAUCAUGCCACGAUUUUGGUACAUCGUGGCACGAUUUCAGGCGCCCAAAAAUUUGUUUGUAAAAGCCAAUCAUGUUUCUGAAGCAAAGGUCCUGAAUUUUGGAGAUCUGGAAGACAUUUUUGAGCUGAUGAUUGAAGAUUUAACGAUGGCUUGCCAUCCAUGUAAUAGUCAAUCCUUAUGUAUGUAAUCAUGUUUUAUUUGAAUCGAGUUAUUGAAUCUUAGUGAUUAGGUCUUGAGAUGAAUCUGAUUUGUUCUGCUUGAACCAUGUAGGUUGUGAAAUACUAUUCUAUGUAAAUGCAAAUAUAGUUUUAUUCAAUAUAAUUGGGUGUAAUGGUUUUUAUAUCUUGAUCACAUAUUAAAUGAUUUCAGAGAUAAAUGACAACUAGUUAUAGCUUUUAAUUUGGAUCUAAUUAUAUUGUUCAAUCAAAUGGGUCAGUCUAGAGAUAGAUGAUUGUUAGGUUGUGAUAAUAUAUUCAUGUACCAUAAAGCCUUCGAAGAUUACAGGCUCACCUAAAAGAUUAGGGGGAUGUAAUCUUAGAAGAGAAUCCCAAGUCAAGAGAUUGAUCAGAGCUAUUUUGUUAAUUAUCGUAAAACUAGAGAAAUAUUUAUAGGAUUUAAGUGUUGUCUAUCAAAUAGUGACGAUUAGGGAAUUCUAAAGACCUAAUCAUAUUUCUCCAACUAUCUUUACACAUUGUUAUUUAGUUCAUGCAAGUUAAAUCAAUCCAAUUGCCCCGUACAUCCCACAUUUUAUACAUCCAACAUUAUAACGAAAUUGUUGAAUUAAGAUUAACGCGGUCUCGCAUAAAUGAAUAUUUUAUUGCUUUAAUAGUUUUAGUACACUUAAUAAAAGUCUAUCAAGAGGUAUGAAGUAUUCACGAUUUACAAAGUACAUGCAAAAAUAAUUAAAAAUGUCAUAUACUUCAAUAAUAGUUGAGCUAUGACAUAGAGACUCCACUUAUGUUUAGUAAGGUGAGAAUAUUACUACAUUGGUCAAUUUAAUUAGAGUAGUGAUAUUUAAACAACUCUUUUAGUAUAACUUUUGAAACAACCUUGUUGUGUUCUCUUCUUAUUGGUCAAAAACAAUAGAGAGAGAAAAAGGAAGAGAGAGAAUAAGAAGAUAAUGUGAAUAUGAGAGAGAAGGUUGUACAAAAGUUGUACAAAAAUGAUUGUACAAGUAUCAUUUUUCUUUAAUUAUGACACAAUUAUUUUCACUCUCUCCCUCUCUCACAUAUUUUUAUAUUUAAAAAAUAUAUUACCACAUAUCACACUUGAAUUGAUUAAUAUCAUGUCACACUAUAUGAGAAUCACACGUGAGUGAGAUAGAUAUUGCUAGCUUGUGUGCCGACUUGCCAAUGACAAUGUCUUCUUUAUUUAUAAUUAGAUUAAUAUUGUCUUCAAAAAACAAAUCAUUAGAUGAAUACAAAAUAUAUAUAAAAGAAAAAGAGAGAUACGUUAAAAAAAAAAAAUUGGAAAAUUUUAUAUAUUGAAUGUGUUAGUGGUAUAUAUCUAACCAACAAAAACCAUAGUCUAGAAAAACAACUAACAAAAGCUUUCAGCCACUGGUAUUUUCCCAUUCUUUGGGCAUUUCAUUAACUUUAGCAUUUCAAAGCUUCCUAUAUAUAACAACCUGCUUCACUCUUCUUCAUCAACCAACCAAAACACAAGAAUCAAUUUCCUUUGUCAUCUAAAAAGCAAGCAAAAGACUUCAAGAAUCAAUAUUAAUCAAGAUGAGUUCAACAAGUAGAGCAUGGGUAGCAGCAGGCAGUGUUGCAGUUGUUGAAGCAUUGAAAGAUCAAGGAAUAUGCAGAUGGAAUCAUACACUAAAAUCAGUUCAAAAUCAUGUUAAAAACAAUGUCAGAUCAUUUUCUCAAGCAAAGAAGCUUUCAUCCUCUUCCUCUUCUGCUAUGGUUUCUAAUUCUUCUAAGAGACAAAGAGAGAAGACAAAGCAAUCAGAGGAAUCUUUGAGGAAAGUCAUGUACUUGAGUUGUUGGGGUCCCAAUUAAGAGGAACUUUGGAAACAUUGAAGGAUCAAGGAUAUUGCACAUUGAAUGAGUUCCUCAGCUCAUGCCCAAGAAGCUAUAUCCUACUCCUUCUUCAACAAUUCCAAAAAAGCUCAUGAGUGAUGAGAAGAAGAGGAAAGCAGAGGAGUCUAUGGGAACCCUUUUGUUCUUGAGCGCAUAUGGAGUCCAAAUUCUUAGAACAAAAAAUGGAAACAAAAUUAGCAACAUUCAAAAUCACAGAAAAAUAUGGUGUCACUGAUAUAUGUAUUUCUGUAUGAAACUUGAGAGCCGAGUGCUCAAAUGUUAAAAUAGCACUUUCAUUAUGUAAAUUUGCUACCAAUACAAAUUUAGCAGCUUAAUUUGUUGAUGAAAAAAAAAUUCUAAUGUGAAUUUAGUUUCUAGAAAAGACCAUGUCACUUUUUUUAAUCCCACAAUACUAAAAGAAUAUUGGACACUUUACAUUCUAAGUUAGUGUUGUGAAUCCACUCUAUUAAAUUGCAAUCUGAGUCAUGCAACUUCAUAAUAAUCUGAGUGAGUCUAGUCAUAUAGUGUUGUGUUUUGAGUGCAGUACUGUUAGGGUAUUCUAAGACAGCAAAACUAAUUGAUUUCACUCAUAUAACGUGUUUAUUUUAUCAUAGAUUUGUUAAGUAACUCAUGCAAUUUUCUUAACUUACAUGAAUUAACAAAAAAAUUGAAAAGCCAAACAUGAUUUUAUUAAGACGAUAAGUUACCAGUGGUACCACCAAAAGGAAUUACAAUGCUGAAUGAAAGGUGUUUGAUGCACCAAUCAACCAGACUCCACUUACACCUACUCCAACACCCUAUACAUUUGAGACUAGCUACCCCAAAAUUACACAAACAAAGCAAAGGUAGCAUAAGAUACAAUGAGCCAAUACUAUUCAUAAUUCACCCACACCUGCUGCACAAACAAGGUGUUCACUGCUCACUGCUGCUAAUAAACCAAAGUUAGGUGAAGAUAUAAUUAUGGUAGUAAAAAUCCCGAUUUUAAUCCUAAACAUUCCAGUGUAAUUAAUUUCAUAAGUAUUUCAAGUGUUAUGUUGUUCAUAUUUGAGUGUUAGUGUGUUAUGCUAUGCUAUUAUGUGAGUUAUGCUUAUGAAUUUAAAUUUACACAAGUAUUUUAAGUGUAAUUUAAUCUUUUUUUUUUAUCUUGCAUAUACUAUUUUUUUAAAAUUUUAUGCAUACAAUUAAUGUAAUGAUUUGAAGGUGAGAAAAACACGAGGGUUUGAAUUUUGUUAUCCGAUAGCGAAUUGUGUUUUUGCACAUGGUCAUAAUAAGAUGAUAAAUUGUACUUAUGAGAGUCUGAUAACAACACUCCUUCAAAAGACGACAAGCUGAGUCAAAGUUUUCAGUUACUGACGUCAUCUUCAGAUGCUUCAUCCUUUAGAGUCUCCAUUCCUUUAGAAGCUUCUCAAUGAAAAGCAUCUUCUGAUUAGGAUGUUAACUUUCUAGUUGACCUUUCUUCAUAUUUUGUUUCAAAUCAUACAAGCUUCUCUUUUACUUCAAAUACUUUCCUAUACGUUCAGAGUUUAGAUAUUUCAAAAUUAAAACUUAACUCGAGAGUCAAAAUUUAAUUUUAUGAUUCUACAUAUUUAAACUCAUUGCGACCUUUCCACAAUAUCCAGAUGCAUGCAUAUCAAAAAUAAUUUAACCUUAUUGGAGUUCUUUAAAAGAAAAUUACACGCACAGCCGAUUUUCCUUUUGUAAAACAUCGUAAAAUGAUCAUUUUUUAUAAUUAUUACUUUAAUAUGUUAAUGGCAUCACCGAUUAUUAUUUCUUCAAAAUUUAUUUAUAUAUAUUUUAUCUUCCAAUUGAAUUUUCACACCUUAUUAUCCAUACUUUAUAUUUAUCCACUCAUAUUCACAUAGGUCUGUGUACCAAAUUAUACCUCAUCACCUGCUGGUUUUUAACAACAAACAAUGGUUUCAGGCAUUUUACUCACACGUUCCAAACCAUGGUUCCGUACAGUACCAACUGCAAUUUGCAUGGUCCUACAAUUACAAAUCAAAUCCAAAUGCAGGGAUUAAUAUAUUUUAUUGGGAACUUCUACGAUACACCUCACAAAUUGGGGUGUACCGGUACUCCUUGCUUCAUAAAUUGAUAAAUUUAUGAUUAUUUUAGGAAGUAAAGGGCUAUUUGUCAAGGUUAUUCUUUAGAAAACAUCAUUUCAUAUAAAGAAAAACAUAAUUUCAUUGUUUAUAAUAAUCAUAUUAAAUUUUUAACAUUACUCAUAAAAAAUAAUCAAUAAUCUUCAUUAUGAGUAAUAAAAAUUCAAAAAAAUUAAAUUUUAUUUCGUCGACACUUUUGGUAAAUAAGAUUUAAUUUUUAUAAUUGUAAAUGAUAGAUUUCUUNNNNNNNNNNNNNNNNNNNNNNNNNNNNNNNNNNNNNNNNNNNNNNNNNNNNNNNNNNNNNNNNNNNNNNNNNNNNNNNNNNNNNNNNNNNNNNNNNNNNNNNNNNNNNNNNNNNNNNNNNNNNNNNNNNNNNNNNNNNNNNNNNNNNNNNNNNNNNNNNNNNNNNNNNNNNNNNNNNNNNNNNNNNNNNNNNNNNNNNNNNNNNNNNNNNNNNNNNNNNNNNNNNNNNNNNNNNNNNNNNNNNNNNNNNNNNNNNNNNNNNNNNNNNNNNNNNNNNNNNNNNNNNNNNNNNNNNNNAAAAAAAAAAAAAAAAAAAACCAAAAGUGGGUCAUUUUGGGAAUUUUUUUCCAAAGGGGGUCAUACUUGAAUUUUUUUUCGAAAAGUGGGUCAGAAAAAAAAAAAAAUUCUUUUUUUGUUGAAUAUAUGAAUGACUAGAGGGGCUGCACAAUGACAUUGAAAUCAUAAUGAGAAAAAAAAAUGAAAAUAAUUUUUUUAGGCACGUUUAGGAUAAGAACCCAUCAAAGUGAGUUGGAUGCAGUGAUCACGUAAUGACAAAGUGGUCCAAGGUAGAUUAUUUUGUUUUAUUUAAUUUCCAAAACCAGUAGACAUAGCCUAUGGUUUCUCCAAAACCAAGUGUAUUAUUAGUUAUCUAGCUAGCUCAUGGUAUCUUAUUUCAAUAUAAUAAAUAAGAUCGAACAUGACUCCUCUCUACUUCAUCAAAUCAACAAUCUUAUUUUCUUAUUUACCAAACAACACUGUCUACUUCUAAAUUUUGAUAUCCAAAAAUCAUGAAUCGUGCAACAGCAACAAGCAAAGCAUGGAUGGUGGCUGCAAGUGUUGGAGUUGUGGAGGCUUUGAAAGACCAAGCUGGUAUUUGCAGAUGGAACUAUGGUUUAAGACAAGCUCAACAACACCUUAAAAACCGUGUUAGAUCAAUUUCUCAAGCAAAGAAUUUCUCUUCUUCUUCAUUUCUUGCUAACAAACUUAAGGAUGAGAAGAAGGCCAAACAGGCAGAGGAGUCUUUGAGGACUGUCAUGUACUUGAGCUGCUGGGGUCCUAAUUGAUUAACUUAUACAUAGUGAUGUUAGAUUAUAUUAAUUAUGUAAAUUUUG